rnacentral:lncRNA from 1 species
AAAAAAAAAAAAAAAAAAAAAAACUUUANNNNNNNNNNNNNNNNNNNNNNNNNNNNNNNNNNNNNNNNNNNNNNNNNNNNNNNNNNNNNNNNNNNNNNNNNNNNNNNNNNNNNNNNNNNNNNNNNNNNNNNNNNNNNNNNNNNNNNNNNNNNNNNNNNNNNNNNNNNNNNNNNNNNNNNNNNNNNNNNNNNNNNNNNNNNNNNNNNNNNNNNNNNNNNNNNNNNNNNNNNNNNNNNNNNNNNNNNNNNNNNNNNNNNNNNNNNNNNNNNNNNNNNNNNNNNNNNNNNNNNNNNNNNNNNNNNNNNNNNNNNNNNNNNNNNNNNNNNNNNNNNNNNNNNNNNNNNNNNNNNNNNNNNNNNNNNNNNNNNNNNNNNNNNNNNNNNNNNNNNNNNNNNNNNNNNNNNNNNNNNNNNNNNNNNNNNNNNNNNNNNNNNNNNNNNNNNNNNNNNNNNNNNNNNNNNNNNNNNNNNNNNNNNNNNNNNNUUAAAAAAAAAAAAAAAAAAAAAAAAACUUUAACGAUCAUUAACAUGCAAUAGAGUACAAAUUAGCUUCUUUAUUAAAAUUUCCAUAACUUUACCAUUUCAAGCCUAAGAUUUACUACCUCGUAACCAAAAAAUUAACAUGGUUAGAUGUUGUCUUGUAAAAAUAUGUUAAUUACCAAAGGGAGAAAAAUUAGUAUGUAAAUAAUAGAAAAAAAUAUAUAAACAUGUAGAUUUACAGAAGAUAUAAAUGCAAGUUAUUUGAUGAUUAAAUAAAUUUAGUUCGUAGUUGAUAAAUAAAGUUGGACACUUUAUUUAGGUAUAGACUGUAAUAAAUUCAUUGAAUAAUUGUCUUAAUCAUAUAUGAAUUUAUUGAUGUAGUACGACUACAUUGAACAUGAUCACAUAUGAGAUUUAAUUAACUUUAUAAUAAUUGUCAGACUUAUUAAAUCUCAUAAGCACUGAUUUUACUGUAAUCUUAAUCUUGAGUUAGUUAUAAUUUCAUGAUUGUAAUUGUUAUUCAAUUUGAGUUACCAAUGGGCAUGAUACACACAUGUAGUCAAGAUUACCCGAUAUCUUAGUGAGAGCAAUUAUGAGUAUUGAAGUUAUAGAUUAACAAUAUAGAAUUUGUACAAUACAUCUCUUGAUGGGUUUUCGGCACUUGACUAUAGAAUUCUCUGGCCAUAGUGUGUCAACAUAUUUAGUAUGUUGAAAAUGAUCAUUAGAGAAAAUUAGUAAGUAUCAAGGAAUAAGAUGUAAUUAAAUUGAUUGGAUAGUUGAGAUAUCGAUUUAAUUAACGAUGUGGUACAAAUGAUUAUGCAGUAAAUAGAUCAAUGUGGCUUGGGGAGAAUUAUUAUUCAAACAUACAAUUAUGGAGGUCAGUUCCAAUAUUAUAGUGAAGUAGAGUUGGAAUUAAAUGAUUAGGCUUGUUCAUUUACAAGUUUUAUUGUUGUAGCCACUAUUGUAUGUUUCCAAAUUAUCCCCAAGUUAACUCAUUUGAUUGACUGCACCACUACUGAACGUAAAAAUUAGAAAACUGGCAUGUUAGGUGAUAAACCUAAUUAUAAUAUUUGUUAAGAUCUUAUGUGUUAUAUUCAUGUGCAAAUGGUGUCUUGUGUUAUUUUACAAGGUGGGCCCCAAAGUGGUUACACAUGAUUUUCACUUUCACUUAAGUAGAGAGAUAAUAUUAAAUUCAAAAUAUUUAUUAUUUUGAAUUAUAAUAAAGGAUAAUACAUAUCUAGGUUUAACAAAAGAUAUUAUAUAAAUGUAUUUUUCUCAAGCCUAAAGAGGUAUGUGAUUCAAAAUACACGUUUUGAGGAAAAAAAACACACAAAAGAAGAAGCCAACUGUUUUGCAAGUAGUGAAACGGACGCCCACACGUCAAGUACUAAUCAACUUGAGUCAUAACUUAAAAGAUUAUUUGGUGAUAGAUCGUGAUCUAACAAACGUGGUGGUGACGGAUCGUGAUCUGAGAGCCUAGAUUAAUUUUGAUUGUUCAUCUUCUCAGAUUGUUAAGGUAUGAUUUUUUAAAUUACGAAUUCUUAUAUAUUAUAUGAGAUCGGUCUUAAAAGUUUUUAUGAGAAAAAAUGAUUUUUUUAUCCAACAGAUGCUACACAAAUAAAUAACAUAAAAAAAUGAUAAUCAUCUAGUCAGUGCAGGAGAAGAACACUACAUUUUUUCAACCAAAACUAAUAAAAAAAGACACAAACCGUCACCAAAUCCAAAAUAAUGUAUCAACUAUAUAUCUUCAAGGAGACAAAGUACGUACGAACCAAUUAUAAAGAUUGCUUCCGAGAAGGCUCUUCCUGUUAAAUUGAUGAGUUGUAUUAUUUUUCUCCCAUUUGUUAGAACAUAAAAUCUAAUGCAUUAAAUGACAAUAGAAUCACCGGUCCACUCAUUGCAUCUUGUGAAGUCAAUGUCCGUAUCAAACUUGAUGAUUCAAGGCCAGCUUCUCAUAGAGCAGAAAUAGUAAAAAUACAAGAACCAAUUUUCUAGUCAUUGACAUAUUUAAGUACAGAUUAUAAAUAAACUGCUAAGCCUUGCCCUUCUACUGAUGGAACAAGAAUUUGUAACUUGGUGAGAUCUCAGCUUUUCAGUAAUGAAAAUCUCAAGCUACCAAAAACAGUAGAUUUAAUCUACACUCUUAUGCACCGUUGCUAAAGAAAUUAGAAGGAGCGCUUUUCAAAUCUAUACAAAAUCACAACUGGAGAGUAACAUUGUAUUGUUGGCCAAAAGUUAUCAGGCAGCUACCUUACAGAAAAUUUGAGUCGGUUGACCAGCGAAAGGUGCGUUGUAAAUUGGUAGGCGGAUACAUAAUUUUGAUUUUAUGUUUGUAAUUAAAUUUUCAUGCUUAGAAUUUUGAUUUUAUGUCUAUUUUGAUUAAGUCCACAUGAUGAGGGAUAUUUUUCUUUUUCCUAAUUAAUAAAAAUACUUUCAAACUACAGAUGUUGGGGGAAAAAGUGUCCCAGCCGGACCAAAUUUCUAUCUGCCGUCCCAGCCUUUAAGUAAUAGCAAAUUUCACAGCAAAUCUUGACUGAAAACAAAAUAAAAAUAAUUUAAUUUCAAUGCAAAAAAAAAAAAAAAAGAUUAUGAUAUAGUCAGAAUUACACGUACAGGAGUAAAGUAUUAUAUCAUCUUUAAUUCCCGAUAUCCCCAAAUAGCUUCCUAUAAAUCUCAAAAUGCGGUAAAUUUCGACACAUACAUUACGGCUGUGUGCAGACAACCUCGGAACUGCUACCCCAAAUAAGAUUAAUUAUAUAAUUAAGUACAUUCAGGUACAUUGUACACGGGAUUCACUUAGAGGUAGCCUCUGCUCAUUAUUCUCAAUGGUGUACACAGUGGAUUUAUUUUUUAACACAAUGAUAAUCAUUUUUUUUUUAAAGGAAACGAUCAGCGUUUAAUUUUAAUAUAAUUUAAUAUCUUAGAAUGGUUAAUUGCAUCCAAUAACUUUUUGAUUGAAUUAGUCGACGCUUCUACCCUUAAUUCUAAGAUGGAGAGUUCGCAUUCCUCUAAUAAUUGUGAAAGUUUAUUGUAUUUGAUUUCUUAUGUAAAAUUUUAGUGGGCUUCAAUUAAAUGGAUUUUCAUUUAUUGUAUCAAGCUUUGAUAUAUUAGACUUUGAUUGUAUAAUUAUCUAUAUGGGGAUUUUAUUGUGUAGCAAAUAAUAUUCAAAAGAAAAAAAGUAUUUAACAAAUGGGUCAAAAGCCCUUGAAUAUAACUUUAUAAAAGUUAAAAUUGUAAAUAAAGAGGAUUUUAAAAGGGUGUCAAUAAUUCCACUCUUUUUUUUUUUUAAUUUUAAAAGGUAGGGGGUGGACAAGUUCAAAUACAGUUUUUACCCCCUUACCACCUUAAGAAUCGAACUUGAAUUUUGGUAGAAGUUACAGUUUCACUACAACCAACCCGACCACGCCCUCGAGGACAAAAAUUCCACUCUUAUAUAUACUAUUAGAAAAUUAAAGAAAAAUAGAGAAAUGCUUAGUUAAGAUCUUUAAGGUACUCUUCCUUUUACGGAAUAAACUUUAUUAAAGCGGCAUUAAUAAGUUUGGCAAUUUUCACCUAGUUUCAAUUUCUCUUUUCCGUUUCAACUCUUUUGAUCCUCCUAAUCUCCUUAUUAACUUUGAUUGAGUUUGACCAGUUCAUUGGGAUGAAAUUAUAUGAAGGAAAAAUGACACUUACACCCCUAAGGUUUGGGAAAAUGGUCACAAAAACCCCAAAUUUUUUAAUAAGGGACACUAAGGUCCCCUUUGACUAUAACACCAUUUGACUCUAUAAACCCAAAAAAAUUGACCCUAAAAUUUUAUAAUAAAUAUAAAUAUUACAUUAAAAUAAAUGUAAUAAUGUGUACAUUAUAAAAUAAUUUCAAUACUUUAUAUAAACUUAAUAUUUUAUAUUGGAGAUGAUUAAUUUUGUAUUCUGCUGUACGGCCAAGGCGGAUGUACGGUACAGCAGAAAUAAAUAUAAAAAUUUAAAAGUUUAGUAUUAUUUUAAAUGUUAAAAAUAAUUUAAUUUUAUUAGUCUACUAGAUGGAUUAUGUUAUUUAUAUUAAAGUUUUGUUAAUUUAAAAACUUUAUAGUAAAUUCUCAAGUUACUAUAUUCAAAUACUACUAUGGUCAAAAAGAGGUCUUCCUUUUUUUUAAAACUUGGGCAUCUUUGUAAUCAUUUUCUCAAAUCUUAGGGGUGUAAGUGUUAUUUUUUCUAAAAUGAAAAAUAACAUUAAAAUAUUAAUUUUUUUAUCAAGUGUGAGAUCUUCGAUUGAGAGCAUGUGAUAAAAUUAAUCAAGUUUCAAUUUUUUUUUCAAUUUUGAUGUACUUUGUAGAUACUAAUAAUUUGCUUUACAAAUAUUUUAUUAUUAAUUUUUUUUAUAAAUAAAUGAGUGUAAAGAAUAUUUUUUAUAAAUAAAUGAGUGUAAAAAUUAUUGUUAUAAUUUUUUCUUUUCAACGCAACAGCUGAAAGUAGCUUAGAACUUUAGUUAAAAAUGCCCAACCCAAGUCUGGGCCCCCAAUUACUACUAGAAAGCCCAAUCGUUCACCAAACUUUUCAUCAAAACAUCAACACUCGAGUUCAACGACAGAUUGAUUCCCGUUUUUUGCUCUUGUGGUCAAAUGGACGCGUCACAGAGCAACGACCGGAUUCCGAAUCCGAACCCGAGGGGUAAUAAUGGGAACUCGAUAACGUUGUCCACGCCGGUGUGGCCAACGAUCGACGGGCCGUUGGGUUUAACGGAAGACGAUUCAUUGAGCUACGCUCGCAAAUUCUAUCAGUUCGGUUUCGCACUGCUGCCGUUUCUUUGGGCUGUCAAUUGCUUCUACUUCUGGCCUGUUCUUCGCCACUCCGCCUCUUUCCCUCGUAUUCGCCACUGUAAGCUUUCCCAAUCGCUGUCGCUUCAUUUUGAUUUUAAGUUAUUUGCAUUGAAAUUUCGUUGUUGGGUAACAUUUUUUUUUAACCUACGCUGAGGUUUGGCUAAAUUAUAGAAAGGUUUUACUAGUUUUGAAAUUUUUCAUAUACGUCCUUGACAGUAUCUCAUUACAUUGUGAUGAAUCCUUUGGUCUAAUAGUAAAUUGAAAUCUUACAACCAAAUGUACUAUGUAUGUAACUGCUGUGCUUGUGCUUGUAUCCUCUGAUAUACAGGAUUAGCUUGUUGAGUCUUAAUAGUCUGGAUGGGUCUGUCCUCACUAUCAAAAGUAACUCCAUUGUUGUCUGUAACCGUUGGAGAAUUUGGGAGGUGGUUGAUUGGUAGAUUGGUUGAGUUAUAACAUCUUUGGCGAUGGUUUAUUUUUCAGAAGAAUAUAAUUUUUCAAAACAUACCAUUUCAUGUUUCAAUUUAUCAAGCCCGUAGACCUUAGACAGCUUGCUUGCUUACAAAAAUAGGAGGUUGGCAAGAGUUUAGUCCGAGUAUCCGUUCAUUUGAUUGUUGAUAGUAUAUAUGAUAUUGUGCUCUUAUUAAUACAUGAGCGAGACUAAUGAGUGGUUUGCUAUAGAAGUAGCACUCAAUACUUUGGUUAUUGGUGGUUUCUUGUUGCUUAGGCUCUUUAAGCUCUUCCAUUUUCAUGUAUGUUUGGGUGUUUGGGCCUAAUCGUAAUAGGUCAAUGACUCAAUGCUUACUUUAAGAGAAAAUACAGUUACUUGCUUUUUUAUGAUGCUAGCAUGAGAUUCUGUUUGCAUGCUGCCUCAACCACCACUCGCCAAGGACUUUGAUUUACGCGUCUCGUAUUUAGAUUACAAUAUAGUGUAAGCCAAGAGCGUUGUUGGGUAACAUUUUUUUUUAACCUACGCUGAGGUUUGGCUAAAUUAUAGAAAGGUUUUACUAGUUUUGAAAUUUUUCAUAUACGUCCUUGACAGUAUCUCAUUACAUUGUGAUGAAUCCUUUGGUCUAAUAGUAAAUUGAAAUCUUACAACCAAAUGUACUAUGUAUGUAACUGCUGUGCUUGUGCUUGUAUCCUCUGAUAUACAGGAUUAGCUUGUUGAGUCUUAAUAGUCUGGAUGGGUCUGUCCUCACUAUCAAAAGUAACUCCAUUGUUGUCUGUAACCGUUGGAGAAUUUGGGAGGUGGUUGAUUGGUAGAUUGGUUGAGUUAUAACAUCUUUGGCGAUGGUUUAUUUUUCAGAAGAAUAUAAUUUUUCAAAACAUACCAUUUCAUGUUUCAAUUUAUCAAGCCCGUAGACCUUAGACAGCUUGCUUGCUUACAAAAAUAGGAGGUUGGCAAGAGUUUAGUCCGAGUAUCCGUUCAUUUGAUUGUUGAUAGUAUAUAUGAUAUUGUGCUCUUAUUAAUACAUGAGCGAGACUAAUGAGUGGUUUGCUAUAGAAGUAGCACUCAAUACUUUGGUUAUUGGUGGUUUCUUGUUGCUUAGGCUCUUUAAGCUCUUCCAUUUUCAUGUAUGUUUGGGUGUUUGGGCCUAAUCGUAAUAGGUCAAUGACUCAAUGCUUACUUUAAGAGAAAAUACAGUUACUUGCUUUUUUAUGAUGCUAGCAUGAGAUUCUGUUUGCAUGCUGCCUCAACCACCACUCGCCAAGGACUUUGAUUUACGCGUCUCGUAUUUAGAUUACAAUAUAGUGUAAGCCAAGAGCGUAGCAGUUUUUCUGUAAUUAGUUUGUUGUAUUGAUUACAGAAAGGCACCCUUUCAGGAGAUGAAGUUGGGUGCAUCUGCAUUUUCGACAUGGAAGGCUACUUGUUGGCAUUAUUAUAUCACAUAUUAUAUAUUUUACACAUCUUCUCUCCCACGCUGUUCGUUUUGAUAACUGUAAGAUAUAUUCUUUUGUAGAUGUUCUUGGAUCAGCAGUUGGGUUUGCAGUCUUCACGGUUGUUUUACUCUCAUGGGCAUUGACAUUUGCCAUUGGAGGGGAGCACCUCUUCGGCUCUGUUUGGGAUAAACUAGUAAUGUAUAAUGUUGCUGAGAGAUUAGGCUUGACAGGUUGGAGCUAGUCAUAAACUAUUUCCAAGCUUAUGAGUCUUAAAACUCAUUUCCCUUGUCAUUGUAUAUAGUCUGUUUUUGAAACUUGAAACAACAUACAUUCAUGUUGGAGGUAAUGUUGAAGCCAUUUUUCUCAAUUAGUAAAAGAACCUUUCCUGUUGAAUCAAGUGGCAGAUUCAUGCUUUUAUCUGAAAAAUAAUGUAUCGUGGCAUGUAUUUUUUUUUUAUAAAAAAAAAAAUAAACAUGAGAACUCCUGAACCUUUCUUUCAUAUGUAUUAACUUCGUUCGAUAAAAAUUUGAGUAUUUUGAAUUUUGAAUUUUGAAAUUAGAAAUGGUUGCUUUAUUCUCAUCUGAUACGCUGCAAAAAUGCCUUGAAAAUGGGCAAUGUUAUGUGACCAAGCCAGUGACUCGCAAUAUGAAAAAACGCAGGCAUGAUCUGCUUCAAAUGAGUGUGUGUGCGUGUUUUAAGAAUCAAUAGAUGAAGUCUGGUCGGUUUUAAUCCGUUUUAUUGCUGUAAACAAAUUCACUCAAACGUUCGAUCAACUCAACUGAGCCAACCAUGCCUAACAAAAUAGGCCUUUUUUGUUUUUAUUUUUUAUUUUUUAUUUUUUUGGAAGGUAAAUAUGCCUUAUUGAAAAUAAAAAUAAAUUCGAAUUUUAUUUUCUCAAAUACCUAUAGUUUAAUUUACAGAAUAGAAACACAUAUAUAAAAAUGAAGCAUCUUCCCAUAAAUUUUUUUAUCCUAAAAAAUGUGUAUUUUUAAAAUUUUAUUUAUAAAAUACAUACAAAUCCUAAAAUUUUUAAUUAUUUUCUUCUUAUCUAUUUUCAUUACUUUAAACUACUAUAAUUUUCUCAAAAAAAUAUUUUUAUUUAAGUUUUUAAUUGAAAUUUCAUUUAAAAAUAAAAAUGAAUUAAAUAUUACAUUUGAUUGUUUAGGUAAUUUCAGUUAAAAGGGAAUUUAAUAAUUUAGAGAUGGCAAAGUAAUUCAGACCCAGCCUGAACUUGGAUAAACUCAAAUGAUCCUUGCUGGGUUCAACCCGUACUGCAUUUAAAUAAUAUGUCAAUCCGGUAUUAUUUUUUUGAACCUAGACACAUUCGGGUUCGGCUCCGGAUUCAGCUAAACCCGGACCUGCAUAUAUUUAUUUUUCAUAUAAAUAUAAGAAAUAAAAAUUUAAUGGAAAAAGAAUAAAUAAACCCUAAUUUACACUUUUGGCUUUUAGCUCAACACAGCCGCGACAUUUCUUCUCCUUUUCAUUUGCCAAAUUCAUCAAUUUAAAUCAUCAUCAUCAUCAAAUCGUCAUCAAUCAUCAUCAUCAUCAUCAAAAUUGUCAUCAAUCAUCAUCAAAGGCUUGAAUUCUCAGUAACUCUUGAACUCAUUCACGGUCACGGCCGGCGGAAGACGAUCACACACACGAAGUGAGGAAUUGGGAUUCAUGGACAUAGACGAAACAAUGACUAGUGGUACAAAUUCACUGGAUUUUCGUUCUCCAUCGCUAUUUGUGUUCUAUUUUGAUAUUAAUUUAGCUUUUGCUUCAUGAUGACAAGCUGACAAUCACAAAAUUUGAGUUUUGUUUUGCAGUUUUGCUUCAUUGUUUUGUUAUAUUCUUUAAUCAAAUUCUUCAAUGUGAUUUAAAUAUUACUCUUAUGUUGUGUUUACUUGUUGGAGUGGGAGUGAGAAGUGUGAAUUCCUCCCACUCCAACGUUUACUUACUUAAAAUGGGGAGGGAUUGGGAGUCCUAUUCCGUGGGCUCCACUCAUUUUUAGAGUGGGGAGUGAGAGUGGGACUCCCAUUGGGAGAGGUGGGAGUGGGAUUCCCACUCCCACCUCUCCCAUUUCUACCUUUUUUUUUAUUUUAUGUUUUAUAAUUAAUAAAAUAAAAUAAAUAAUAUUAUAUUUAUUUAAAUAAUAAUAUUAUAUUUAACUAAAUAAUAAUUUACAUUGAUUCUAAGUUAAAAUUAUUUUAAAAUAAUAUUAUUAUAUUAAUAGAGAAUUAAUAAAUAUAAUAUUAUUAUAUUUAUUUUAAAAAUAAUAGUACUAUAUUUAUUUAAUAAUAAUAAUAAAUACUUUAUUCUAAGAAAAUAUUAAUUUUGUACUAAAUAAUAUUAUAUUAUUAUUUUAUAUAAUAAUAAAUUUAAUAUAAUUAUAUUAAAUAAAAUAAAAUAACAUUUCAUUUUAUAUUAAAAUUACAAUUAAUAAUUUAUUGUUCAUAAUUAAGAAUAUUAAUAAUUAUAAUAAAUUUCUGCUGUACGGCCAAGGCGGAUGUACGGUACAGCAGCAGUAAAAGUUAAAAUGUAAGUAGUAAAUAUAGCUUCUAAUUUGGAAAUUUAAUAAAUUAAGUCCUUCAUUUUAAUUUUUAGUUUCAAUUUAAUGAACAUUAUGAACGAAUAAAAUUUGAAUUUUGCUCAUAUACAAUGGCUAAGAAGUCACAGGGAAAACAUAAUCCUUCCGGACCGAGGAUGGAAUCAAGUACAAUGAACGUACCUGCAUCCCAAACAUAUCCGCUACCGUAUCAAAAGUGCUUCAUAAUUUAUAAAUGUGAUGCAAGCUAUCAAAAGAAGGUUGAUGAAAUGACAAUUAAAAUUAUUCCAGAAAGACAUAUUCAAGAUUCAGGCAUUUCUUCUUCAACUUCGGAGGGAAUAUCAACAUAUGGUUCUGUAUGAGAGGUUUGGCCUUGAUCAGGUUGAGCCAUCAGGAUUUUGGUAAUAUCAGCAUAGGACUUUUCAGAGUCACUGGUGGAUGCUGAAGAUUCUGUGUCAGUCUCAGUAUGGCUGUCAGAAACAGCUAGAUUGGAAUCAGAAGUGUGGUCAUCCGUGGUAGAAGAGUGGGCGACUGUGUGAGCAGUAAAUUGGUUCAAGGGUUCUUUAUCUUUUGAUUGGGUAGGGACUGAUAAAGGAGCUGGUGGUGAUGUCGGUGUAAAAGUAGGAGAUGGUUGGCCAGGGAUGGUCAGAGAGGAAGGAUGAAGAGGGGGAGGUCGAGGCUGCGGUCUAGGUUUGGGUUUAGGUUUAGGUGGCGGUGGCAAAGGAUUGUCUCUGAAAAGAGUAUGAGUCAUGCCAAAUAACUUGGAAGGGUCAUAUUGUUUAAUAGGAGAGAGCAUAGAGGCAAAAGGAUGGUAAGUUGGACCGAUAGAAGGAAUAAGAGGUGAACUGGUGAAAAGGGUAGGUCUCUGUUUUUCUGCUGUACGGCCAAGGCGGAUGUACGGUACAGCAGAAAAGAAUAAAUAAACCCUAAUUUACACUUUUGGCUUUUAGCUCAACACAGCCGCGACAUUUCUUCUCCUUUUCAUUUGCCAAAUUCAUCAAUUUAAAUCAUCAUCAUCAUCAAAUCGUCAUCAAUCAUCAUCAUCAUCAUCAAAAUUGUCAUCAAUCAUCAUCAAAGGCUUGAAUUCUCAGUAACUCUUGAACUCAUUCACGGUCACGGCCGGCGGAAGACGAUCACACACACGAAGUGAGGAAUUGGGAUUCAUGGACAUAGACGAAACAAUGACUAGUGGUACAAAUUCCUGCUGUACGGCCAAGGCGGAUGUACGGUACAGCAGGGAACGGGUUACAUAAGGCAGAUAUUGUAUAAUUGUUCGGUUUUCCGCAAUUUUUUCCAUCCCUCUGUGUAAAUAACCCAAUAUUGGUUUUUUGUUGGGGCAAUCUUUGGCAUAGUGGCCUUUUCUCUUGCAGAUGAAACAUCUGCUUGAUUGCUUUCGUUUGAAUUCUCUGGAGGAGGAAGAUUUCUUUCUGAAGAACCGGUAGGGCUUUCGGGAUCUGCGAGGUUUGGAUGAAAAUUCUGGAGUUUUGAAUUUCCGAAAAUGCCGUUUUUUCUUUGAACUGCAAUCGCAAUCCUUUUUCUUGUGGCAUUUGAUCUGUAAAUAAGGCUUUUUGCAAGCACUGCGGAAAGGUUCUUUGUCUUUCAAACAGCAGUUGAAAAACUGUUUUUGCUCGCAAAGUUUGUCAAGGCAGGUUUUGGCAAGCUGGAAGAUUUUGCCAAGGGAGAUGUUGUCUAGGGAAAGAUAUGAUGCUGUAAGUUGUCUCUGGAUGUCAGGUUGGAGUUCUUCGGGGAGGGACUGCUGUACCGUACAUCCGCCUUGCGGCUCAUUGAAUCCAUUAAGCUUAUAGAACAGCAGGGACAUUCGCUUAUAAUGGAAGUCAAGAUCCUUAGCAUUGAGGGAGCAGCAUUUCAUGUUGAGGUAGUCUCGUCUGGCAGCUUCAAAGACUGCAGAAGGGUCUCCAAGGAAUUGAUCAUGAAGUACAGCAAGAGCACUUGAAACUUCUGGAAGGUCAACAAACUGUAACUGGCGAUAUUGUCCUAACGAAUCAAACCAAUCUCUUAGAGCACCCGUAAAACGAGUAGCAAAUUCUCUAAGGACGGAUUGAGUUGUUGCUCCUGUUCUUAGCAUCUGCAGGUCAAUCCAGGCAGACAUUUCAUUGAGUCGGUCACGCCAUUUAUGAGAUGGAAGAUCAUCAAAUGUGAACCAUGGACCAUUUGACGAUUUGUGACUGGGUGGAUUGGGCUGGGCUGGAGAAGGUUGGUUUGUGGCAGAAGAUUCAGGCAUUUCGUCUUCAACUUCGGAGGGAAUAUCAACAUAUGGUUCUGUAUGAGAGGUUUGGCCUUGAUCAGGUUGAGCCAUCAGGAUUUUAAUGAAAAAAAUUAUUAAUUUCAAGUGGAGUGCUGCAAAAAAAAAUUAUAUAUUUUUAAAAAAUGAAUAAAAAUGGUGGAUGAUGGAUAAUUUUUCUUCCUUUUGUUCAACUCUUCGGUUGACCAAAAAGUAGCGUCACCAGUUUCCAUGUUUGGGGCAAAGUUAUUUAGAAUCAAUAUUCUCCACGUUAUGCGAGGAAACAACAUCCUGAUCGUUUCUAAUAAAGGGACACGACAAGACUCCCGACAUUGGAGUUACCAUCCUUUAACUUUAGUGCUUUCCCUACUACUCUGGUUCUUUUCUUCCCUAGCCACCACCAUCCAAGGACUAAAUUGUGGAGCUUUUAUAGUCAUCUCCAGUUGGACCUUUCAUCACCGUUGUAUCCCCAUCAUCACCCUUUCCCUCCUUAUCAACAUUCAUGACCACUUUGGCCCAUAGAUUCUAAUACCAAUACAAUGAGUUUGUUUAAGUUGAUCUCCAAGGCAAUUCUCACAAACUUCCCUUUUGAAGCUAAUUCAGUAUUAUAAUUUAUUUUGAGCACAUUUCUUAUGACUUGACCAAGGAAUCUGAGAAUUCUCUUAUGAUAGUAAUGGAGAAGCAUUCCCAGAAGUCAGAAGACAAGCAACAAUAUAGUCGAUUUUUCCAUUCGAGCUAUCGAAUUGAGGUGACCAAACUUGAACGGUACAAAAUCUUCCAGGGCCCUUGAGUUAAAGCAAAUUGCGCGUCGUUAUGAUGAGGCUGGAGAGCCAUGUAAGAUAACAAGGGUGACAAAACCAAAUUCCAAGUAUCAAGGAUGAGGUCUAGACAUGUGACAUGGGCAUGCAGGAUGUGAAAGUCAUGCAUGCAAGGGAGUAAGAACUGAAGCAAUAUUCAUAGUUAUCGACUUAAAGUAGACGUUGGAGGAUUCAUAGCUUGUUUAGUUGCUGUAUUUAAAUUAUCUUGUGCUACUUGUUUUGUUGAACGAGUUAAUAGCUAGGUAGUUGCAUUUGUUUUGUAUUAUGUUAUUUGCUUAGUGGACGUACUAUGAGCCUCUAUUUUCGGUUGUAUAUCAGAGUAGUGGGUUGUGAUUAAAUGUAUAAAUAUGCUCUCGAGUUCAAUAAUAAGUCGGUCAGCAAAUUAUCUAAAUAUUAUCUUGUGGUUUAUUCUCAUCCAAAGAGAAUCAUACGCAUUGUAUAAGUGUAGUUCUGACUGGGACCUAUCAAUUGGUAUCAGAGUUGUGUUAUCUUGUUCAAAAACUUUGUUGUUCUCAUGACAACUAACAAAGAAAGGAUUGAAAAUUUAGAAGCGAGGCUUAGCGAACUUCAAGAUCAAAUGCAACAAAUGGAGAUUGGCAUUAAUGACAAACUACAUUAGCUCGAGGAGACCAUCAAUCGUAUGUCUGAGGCUUUCUUUUCAAACAAAGAAAGGUCCAGCCAUAACGUCAAUAAUCACCCUAGCCAUUCUUACAAGGAGAAUACUAAGGAGGAAGCUGGUGGAAGCCGUAUGAUUUUCUCAUAAAAAAUGGCUAAGCUUGAAUUUCCAAGGUACACUGGAGAUGAUCCUACGAAGUGGUUUAACAAAGUUUCCCAAUUUUUUGAAUACCAGGGAACAAAGGAGGCACAAAAGGUUGCAUUGGCAUCUUUUUCACCUUGAAGGUGAAGCCAACCAAUGGUGGUAAUAGCUGCACAAAGCCUAUAAAGAGGAGGGAAGAACGGUGACAUGGAGAGAUUUUGAAGAAGAAUUGUGGGCACAUUUCGGACCUACUAAUUGUGAAGAUUUUGAUGAAGCUCUGUCCAGGGUGAGAUAGGUAGGCACCUUACGUGAUUAUCAACCGGAGUUUGAGAGAUUAGGCAAUCGAGUUCAUGGUUGGACACAAAAAGCUUUAGUUGGAACUUUCAUGGGAGGUCUUAAUCCCGAGAUAUCUGAUGACAUUAGGAUGUUCAAGCCAAAGACUUUGAAAGAAGCAAUCAGUUUGGCACGUAUGCAAGAAGACCAAGUCCAACGCAAGUUUUCUCAACCACUCCUAGUUAGUGGAACACCAACAGCAUUGCAUGUCCAUGCACAGUCUCCAUCAACCUCUAAUGUCAAACACUUGACGUGGGAUGAGAUGCAAAGACGUCAUGCCCAAGGGCUUUGUUUUAACUGCCCUGAGAAGUUUAGUGUAGGUCACAAAUGUAUUGGCCCUCAAAUAUUGUUGCUUGAAGGAAGUACUGAAGCGAGAGAUAUUAUGUAUGAAGAAACUGAAAUUGUUGCGGAUGUUACCCCAACAGACCGUGCCAAACCAAAAAAUUCAUUCCAUUCCUUAUCGAAUCAUAGAGAAACCAAUGAAUCUAUUUUAAAAUAUAGACCUUGAGGACAAGAGUCCACUUCGAGGGGAGGGUAUUGAUGAGGCUGGAGAGCCAUGUAAGAUAACAAGGGUAACAAAACCAAAUUCCAAGUAUCAAGGAUGAGGUCUAGACGUGUGAUAUGGGCAUGCAGGACAUGAAAGUCAUGCAUGCAAGGGAGUAACAACCGGAGCAAUAUUCAUAGUUAUCGACUUAAAGUAGACGUUGGAGGAUUAAUAGCUUGUUUAGUUGCUGUAUUUAAAUUAUCUUGUACUACUUGUUUUGUUGAACGGGUUAAUAGCUAGGUAGUUGCAUUUGUUUUGUAUUAUGUUAUUUGCUUAGUGGACGUACUAUAAGCCUCUAUUUUCGGCUGUACAUCAAAGUAGUGGGCUGUGAUUAAAUGUAUAAAUGCGCUCUCGAGUUCAAUAAUAAAUCAGUCAGCAAAUUAUCUAAAUACUAUCUUGUGGUUUAUUCUCGCCCAAAGAGAAUCAUACGCAUUGUAUAAGUGUAGUUCUGACUGGGACCUAUCACGUCAACUGUUCUAAACUUGACUAGAAAUAAUCAUUUUCCAGAUCUAUGACCGUAAAGGAGUCUUGCCCAAAGAGAGUCUAGGCAGUUGCAUAAAACUUUGUAACCAAUCUGCCUCCCUAGGAGAUUAACAACAACAGUAGAUUACCAAGGUUUAAUAAGCCGUGCAAGAACCUCGUGGGAGAAUGAGAUAGAUGGCAAAGUUCCAUCCAUUUCCAUGACAACAUCACCACUGUCAAAAUCCAAAUCGUCGUCCUUACCAACGAAAUCCUCUUCCACGAACAAAUGGUCCUCCAUUAAUUUAUCUUUGAUGGACAUUUGCUGUGGGUUGUCACCAUCGUCUCCUUCUGAGUGGAAUUUGGUCUUUUUUGUGGAACCGUCAUCCUCCAAGGGUGGGGGCAAAAUCUUUGCAAGUUAAGAGGAAAUCAUUUUUUCCCGUAUUGGUUGAGCCUUAACUCAACAUGAAAUGCUGCUCCCUCAAUGCUAAGGAUCUUGACUUCCAUUAUAAGCGAAUGUCCCUGCUGUUCUAUAAGCUUAAUGGAUUCAAUGAGCCGACAUUAAAGCAUGUCUUUCUGGCUUCCCUCCCCGAAGAACUCCAACCUGACAUCCAGAGACAACUUACAGCAUCCAAUCUUUCCCUAGACAACAUCUCCCUUGGCAAAAUCUUCCAGCUUGCCAAAACCUGCCUGCUGUACGGCCAAGGCGGAUGUACGGCUACUUGAAUGGUUCUCCCCCAUCCCAUGGUGGAGAAAGAAACUGCAACAACUGUCCGAAAUUUACAACCUUGACCGUAUGCCUGCCCCUGAAGCACAAAUGUUCACAUCAGUUUUUAUUAUUCACAGGCCAUACUUCCAACAUCCAGACACCCAUCUCUUUUGGACUCAAGAUCAGGUAUAUGAAUGGUUCACUGCACCACAUAUAGCUGUGAUUGAAAAUGACAUACAAGACGUCCUGCACAAUUACCUUUGCCAAUUAAACCACCAACCUCCGCCACUUAAAGAUAUCUCUCACACCUCCUUAGUGUGAUACCACCAACCUUAUCUGGUUUAUUGAAAGCAACCUCUGAUACCAGUUAUGGUGAAGUAGAUGAGAACGAUGAGAACAUCAUACAAGCCAGUGGUGGUGUGGGAUUUGAGAUUGGUGAUGGAAUCUCAGAUUUGCAAUGCUUUGCAAUCCAUGUGAGUUCUUUUCGGUAGAUGGGUAAUGGAGCCGGUGGAGGUGGAGGAUCUGAUGGUGGCUUAGGGUCAUAGUGGUGACAUGGGACAGGAGGUUUUUUCUUUUUGGGUUUCUUUUUCCUUGUGGUUGCGUAAUCAUCGUCUUCUUCCCAAUCAUCCCAGCAGGGACAAUUUGGGUCACACAUGCCGGAACCAGGGGCAUCCCAUAGGAAAUGGCCAUUGUGCUUGGCUGGAUAAACAGGGUAGCCUUGAGAAUUAAACCCUGUAAUGGGCAGAUCUUCCUGCGCUGUCUGAACAGCUGUGAUCAUUGAAGAAUAGGUAAAGGAGAGCCUAGGAGGCUCUUGUGGAGCACUGGGAGGUGGUUUAAAAGUCAUUCUGACUGUUCCAUCUUGUCGUCUUUCAAACAUGCUUUCAGAGGUCUGAAUUGGAGCUGUAUUGUUAUGGAACUGUUCAUAGUUGGAGAUCCAUUCAAGAGGCAUAAGCUUGAUGAGCUCAUGACGGGGAAUUUGUCGGGGAAUCUGGAUGAUUGUCGGGAUCUGGUCAGAUUCUGCUAACACCAUGAGGGUGUCAGAGUGGUGUUCUGGAGCGGGUAGAUCUAAGGCAUGAUUUUGAAGCCUGUAGACCAGUUGGUGAAUCAAACCAAUCUCUUAGAGCACCCGUAAAACGAGUAGCAAAUUCUCUAAGGACUGAUUGAGUUGUUGCUCCUGUUCUUAGCAUCUGCAGGUCAAUCCAGGCAGACAUUUCAUUGAGUCGGUCACGCCAUUUAUGAGAUGGAAGAUCAUCAAAUGUGAACCAUGGACCAUUUGACGAUUUUUGACUGGGUGGAUUGGGCUGGGCUGGAGAAGGUUGGUUUGUGGCAGAAGAUUCAGGCAUUUCUUCUUCAACUUCGGAGGGAAUAUCAACAUAUGGUUCUGUAUGAGAGGUUUGGCCUUGAUCAGGUUGAGCCAUCAGGAUUUUGGUAAUAUCAGCAUAGGACUUUUCAGAGUCACUGGUGGAUGCUGAAGAUUCUGAGUCGGUUUCGGUAUGGCUAUCUGAAACAGCUAGAUUUGAAUCAGAAGUUUGAUCGUCAGUAGAUGAAUGGAUGACUGCGUGAGCAGUAAAUUGGUUCAUGGGUUCUUUAUCUUUUGAUUGGGCAGGGACUGAUAAAGGAGCUGGUGGUGAUGUCGGUGUAAAAGUAGGAGAUGGUUGGCCAGGGAUGGUCAGAGAGGAAGGAUGAAGAGGGGGAGGUCGAGGCUGUGGUCUAGGUUUGGGUUUAGGUUUAGGUGGCGGUGGCAAAGGAUUGUCUCUGAAAAGAGUAUGAGUCAUGCCAAAUAACUUGGAAGGGUCAUAUUGUUUAAUAGGAGAGAGCAUAGAGGCAAAAGGAUGGUAAGUUGGACCGAUAGAAGGAAUAAGAGGUGAACUGGUGAAAAGGGUAGGUCUCUGUUUUUCAGAUUCAAUCUGAGCAAGUUCAGCUUUUAAUCGCCUGAUUUCCCUUUCUUUUUGGUCAAAUUCGGGACCAUUGUAUCUGUGGGCUAGCAUGGCUCGUAACUCUGAAUCGAGUUGGCCAAUUCUGGACUGGAGAUUUUGGUGGAUCUGCUGCAUCUGUGCAGAGAUGGAGUCAACCUUUGUCUCAAGCUGUUCAGUUCGUAAACUGAUUUUCUCAACUUUGGAAUUGAUAUUGACCAAAGUAUCAUUCUGUGCUCUAGCAUUUUGGGUUUGCCAGUUGAGGACUGAUUCAAAAGGUUUGGGAGGUUCUAGGUGGCCAGAUGAGGUAAUUGGUGAAGGGACAAAGGGUUUGGACACAACAUUUCGUUGAGAAUCUGUAUGGGGUUCCAAAGGAGGAAAGGAAGAAGAGUAAUCUGAAGAAGUAGAGGAAAACAUCAUACAAGCCAGUGGUUGGACGAUAGGUGUUGGGUGUGAGAGUGGUGAUGGAAUCGCAGAUUUGCAAUGUUUGGCAAUCCAUGUGAGUUCUUUUCGGUAGAUGGGUAAUGGAGCCGGUGGAGGUGGAGGAUCUGAUGGUGGUUUAGGGUCACAGUGGUGACAUGGGACAGGAGGUUUUUUCUUUUUGGGUUUCUUUUUCCUUGUGGUUGCGUAAUCAUCGUCUUCUUCCCAAUCAUCCCAGCAGGGACAAUUUGGGUCACACAUGCCGGAACCAGGGGCAUCCCAUAGGAAAUGGCCAUUGUGUUUGGCUGGAUAAACAGGGUAGCCUUGAGAAUUAAACCCUGUAAUGGGCAGAUCUUCCUGCGCUGUCUGAACAGCUGUGAUCAUUGAAGAAUAGGUAAAGGAGAGCCUAGGAGGCUCUUGUGGAGCACUGGGAGGUGGUUUAAAAGUCAUUCUGACUGUUCCAUCAUGUCGUCUUUCAAACAUGCCUUCAGAGGUCUGAAUUGGAGCUGUAUUGUUGUGGAACUGUUCAUAGUUGGAGAUCCAUUCAAGAGGCAUAAGCUUGAUGAGCUCAUGACGGGGAAUUUGUCGGGGAAUCUGGAUGAUUGUCGGGAUCUGGUCAGAUUCUGCUAACACCAUGAGGGUGUCAGAGUGGUGUUCUGGAGCGGGUAGAUCUAAGGCAUGAUUUUGAAGCCUGUAGACCAGUUGGUGAUGUAAAGUGGCAAUUUUUGCAGAAGAAAUUUGUUCAGCACCUUGAAUCUGAACUUGGACUUUCAAGGUUGUGGGCAAAUUGGGGUCUUGGAGAGAAAGAUUGAAAUUGGGAUAGAAAGUGAGUAAAACACUUCCUGCAUGAAGGGUUGUGAGGACAGUCUGCUGUACCGUACAUCCGCCUUGGCCGUACAGCAGAGCACUUGAAACUUCUGGAAGGUCAACAAACUGUAACUGGCGAUAUUGUCCUAACGAAUCAAACCAAUCUCUUAGAGCACCCGUAAAACGAGUAGCAAAUUCUCUAAGGACUGAUUGAGUUGUUGCUCCUGUUCUUAGCAUCUGCAGGUCAAUCCAGGCAGACAUUUCAUUGAGUCGGUCACGCCAUUUAUGAGAUGGAAGAUCAUCAAAUGUGAACCAUGGACCAUUUGACGAUUUUUGACUGGGUGGAUUGGGCUGGGCUGGAGAAGGUUGGUUUGUGGCAGAAGAUUCAGGCAUUUCUUCUUCAACUUCGGAGGGAAUAUCAACAUAUGGUUCUGUAUGAGAGGUUUGGCCUUGAUCAGGUUGAGCCAUCAGGAUUUUGGUAAUAUCAGCAUAGGACUUUUCAGAGUCACUGGUGGAUGCUGAAGAUUCUGAGUCGGUUUCGGUAUGGCUAUCUGAAACAGCUAGAUUUGAAUCAGAAGUUUGAUCGUCAGUAGAUGAAUGGAUGACUGCGUGAGCAGUAAAUUGGUUCAUGGGUUCUUUAUCUUUUGAUUGGGCAGGGACUGAUAAAGGAGCUGGUGGUGAGGUCGGUGUAAAAGUAGGAGAUGGUUGGCCAGGGAUGGUCAGAGAGGAAGGAUGAAGAGGGGGAGGUCGAGGCUGUGGUCUAGGUUUGGGUUUAGGUUUAGGUGGCGGUGGCAAAGGAUUGUCUCUGAAAAGAGUAUGAGUCAUGCCAAAUAACUUGGAAGGGUCAUAUUGUUUAAUAGGAGAGAGCAUAGAGGCAAAAGGAUGGUAAGUUGGACCGAUAGAAGGAAUAAGAGGUGAACUGGUGAAAAGGGUAGGUCUCUGUUUUUCAGAUUCAAUCUGAGCAAGUUCAGCUUUUAAUCGCCUGAUUUCCCUUUCCUUUUGGUCAAAUUCGGGACCAUUGUAUCUGUGGGCUAGCAUGGCUCGUAACUCUGAAUCGAGUUGGCCAAUUCUGGACUGGAGAUUUUGGUGGAUCUGCUGCAUCUGUGCAGAGAUGGAGUCAACCUUUGUCUCAAGCUGUUCAGUUCGUAAACUGAUUUUCUCAACUUUGGAAUUGAUAUUGACCAAAGUAUCAUUCUGUGCUCUAGCAUUUUGGGUUUGCCAGUUGAGGACUGAUUCAAAAGGUUUGGGAGGUUCUAGGUGGCCAGAUGAGGUAAUUGGUGAAGGGACAAAGGGUUUGGACACAACAUUUCGUUGAGAAUCUGUGUGGGUGUCUAAAGAAGGAAAAGAGGAAGAAUAGUCGGAUGAAGUAAGUGAGAACAUCAUACAAGCCAGUGGUGGUGUGGGAUUUGAGAUUGGUGAUGGAAUCUCAGAUUUGCAAUGCUUUGCAAUCCAUGUGAGUUCUUUUCGGUAGAUGGGUAAUGGAGCCGGUGGAGGUGGAGGAUCUGAUGGUGGCUUAGGGUCAUAGUGGUGACAUGGGACAGGAGGUUUUUUCUUUUUGGGUUUCUUUUUCCUUGUGGUUGCGUAAUCAUCGUCUUCUUCCCAAUCAUCCCAGCAGGGACAAUUUGGGUCACACAUGCCGGAACCAGGGGCAUCCCAUAGGAAAUGGCCAUUGUGNNNNNNNNNNNNNNNNNNNNNNNNNNNNNNNNNNNNNNNNNNNNNNNNNNNNNNNNNNNNNNNNNNNNNNNNNNNNNNNNNNNNNNNNNNNNNNNNNNNNNNNNNNNNNNNNNNNNNNNNNNNNNNNNNNNNNNNNNNNNNNNNNNNNNNNNNNNNNNNNNNNNNNNNNNNNNNNNNNNNNNNNNNNNNNNNNNNNNNNNNNNNNNNNNNNNNNNNNNNNNNNNNNNNNNNNNNNNNNNNNNNNNNNNNNNNNNNNNNNNNNNNNNNNNNNNNNNNNNNNNNNNNNNNNNNNNNNNNNNNNNNNNNNNNNNNNNNNNNNNNNNNNNNNNNNNNNNNNNNNNNNNNNNNNNNNNNNNNNNNNNNNNNNNNNNNNNNNNNNNNNNNNNNNNNNNNNNNNNNNNNNNNNNNNNNNNNNNNNNNNNNNNNNNNNNNNNNNNNNNNNNNNNNNNNNNNNNNNNNNNNNNNNNNNNNNNNNNNNNNNNNNNNNNNNNNNNNNNNNNNNNNNNNNNNNNNNNNNNNNNNNNNNNNNNNNNNNNNNNNNNNNNNNNNNNNNNNNNNNNNNNNNNNNNNNNNNNNNNNNNNNNNNNNNNNNNNNNNNNNNNNNNNNNNNNNNNNNNNNNNNNNNNNNNNNNNNNNNNNNNNNNNNNNNNNNNNNNNNNNNNNNNNNNNNNNNNNNNNNNNNNNNNNNNNNNNNNNNNNNNNNNNNNNNNNNNNNNNNNNNNNNNNNNNNNNNNNNNNNNNNNNNNNNNNNNNNNNNNNNNNNNNNNNNNNNNNNNNNNNNNNNNNNNNNNNNNNNNNNNNNNNNNNNNNNNNNNNNNNNNNNNNNNNNNNNNNNNNNNNNNNNNNNNNNNNNNNNNNNNNNNNNNNNNNNNNNNNNNNNNNNNNNNNNNNNNNNNNNNNNNNNNNNNNNNNNNNNNNNNNNNNNNNNNNNNNNNNNNNNNNNNNNNNNNNNNNNNNNNNNNNNNNNNNNNNNNNNNNNNNNNNNNNNNNNNNNNNNNNNNNNNNNNNNNNNNNNNNNNNNNNNNNNNNNNNNNNNNNNNNNNNNNNNNNNNNNNNNNNNNNNNNNNNNNNNNNNNNNNNNNNNNNNNNNNNNNNNNNNNNNNNNNNNNNNNNNNNNNNNNNNNNNNNNNNNNNNNNNNNNNNNNNNNNNNNNNNNNNNNNNNNNNNNNNNNNNNNNNNNNNNNNNNNNNNNNNNNNNNNNNNNNNNNNNNNNNNNNNNNNNNNNNNNNNNNNNNNNNNNNNNNNNNNNNNNNNNNNNNNNNNNNNNNNNNNNNNNNNNNNNNNNNNNNNNNNNNNNNNNNNNNNNNNNNNNNNNNNNNNNNNNNNNNNNNNNNNNNNNNNNNNNNNNNNNNNNNNNNNNNNNNNNNNNNNNNNNNNNNNNNNNNNNNNNNNNNNNNNNNNNNNNNNNNNNNNNNNNNNNNNNNNNNNNNNNNNNNNNNNNNNNNNNNNNNNNNNNNNNNNNNNNNNNNNNNNNNNNNNNNNNNNNNNNNNNNNNNNNNNNNNNNNNNNNNNNNNNNNNNNNNNNNNNNNNNNNNNNNNNNNNNNNNNNNNNNNNNNNNNNNNNNNNNNNNNNNNNNNNNNNNNNNNNNNNNNNNNNNNNNNNNNNNNNNNNNNNNNNNNNNNNNNNNNNNNNNNNNNNNNNNNNNNNNNNNNNNNNNNNNNNNNNNNNNNNNNNNNNNNNNNNNNNNNNNNNNNNNNNNNNNNNNNNNNNNNNNNNNNNNNNNNNNNNNNNNNNNNNNNNNNNNNNNNNNNNNNNNNNNNNNNNNNNNNNNNNNNNNNAGUGGUGACAUGGGACAGGAGGUUUUUUCUUUUUGGGUUUCUUUUUCCUUGUGGUUGCGUAAUCAUCGUCUUCUUCCCAAUCAUCCCAGCAGGGACAAUUUGGGUCACACAUGCCGGAACCAGGGGCAUCCCAUAGGAAAUGGCCAUUGUGUUUGGCUGGAUAAACAGGGUAGCCUUGAGAAUUAAACCCUGUAAUGGGCAGAUCUUCCUGCGCUGUCUGAACAGCUGUGAUCAUUGAAGAAUAGGUAAAGGAGAGCCUAGGAGGCUCUUGUGGAGCACUGGGAGGUGGUUUAAAAGUCAUUCUGACUGUUCCAUCAUGUCGUCUUUCAAACAUGCCUUCAGAGGUCUGAAUUGGAGCUGUAUUGUUGUGGAACUGUUCAUAGUUGGAGAUCCAUUCAAGAGGCAUAAGCUUGAUGAGCUCAUGACGGGGAAUUUGUCGGGGAAUCUGGAUGAUUGUCGGGAUCUGGUCAGAUUCUGCUAACACCAUGAGGGUGUCAGAGUGGUGUUCUGGAGCGGGUAGAUCUAAGGCAUGAUUUUGAAGCCUGUAGACCAGUUGGUGAUGUAAAGUGGCAAUUUUUGCAGAAGAAAUUUGUUCAGCACCUUGAAUCUGAACUUGGACUUUCAAGGUUGUGGGCAAAUUGGGGUCUUGGAGAGAAAGAUUGAAAUUGGGAUAGAAAGUGAGUAAAACACUUCCUGCAUGAAGGGUUGUGAGGACAGUACCGAUAACAGCAUCUUGGUACUGUUUAAACCGGGUAUCAAGCAUAGCAAGUCGAGCGGUAACCGGUAAUCCUUUUCUCCCAUGAAGGGUAAGGAUUAAUCUGAUGCCGCCAAGAUGGAGAUGAGUAUAACCUUCUCGUUUCCAGUUGGAGAGCAACUCGGAGGGAAUCUCCAGAGUGACAUAUUGCUCAGCAGAGGUGGCUUGAAGAGCACACUGAUCCAGGCGGGAAGACUGGAUGUAUUCUUUAGGGUGAGGGCGUCUGGUAGAGAUAAGGGUGCGGAUACUGCGGGUAAAGGAGCUAGGUCGUUUAUACAACUGAUAAGGGCUGAGGAGAGGGUAAGAAGAUUCACUGAUUUGGGCGGAUUCAGGGAUGUAGGAGUAUUCUACAAGAUUUUCAAUUUUAUUAGUAGUAUGAGAAGUGCAAGAUUUCGGUAAAGAAAGAGUGGAAGAAAGAGUAACAGGAGGUGAAGAGGAAGUGGAUGCCAUGAAGGAGAAGUUCUCUCUGCGCCUGAAGUUCUAGAGAUCAAAAUAGAAAAAGCCUUAAAUUAUACCAUUUUGGGCAAGAAAUCGUGAAUUUAGAAAACAUGAAAUUUUCAAGGAUGGGUAUGGCUCUGAUACCAGUUAUGGUGAAGUACGUGGCGUUGUUAUACCAGAACUACAACAGUUAAAACUGUUCUUUGGACCAGUAGUCCGCAAGAUCGGGUUUCCAGCCGAUAUACCUCUGUAAUAAAAAACCUUUAAAACAUUUUUCUCAGGUUAUACAACCCAAAACAGACUUUCCUUAUCUCUAAAACAGGGUACCAAACCAGAUAAGAAAUGAUCAAAAGUUUUCUGAUGCACAGGAUCCUUAGAAAAGGCAAGUGCAGGUACAGCAGAACAUGAAAUUUUCAAGGAUGGGUAUGGCUCUGAUACCAGUUAUGGUGAAGUACGUGGCGUUGUUAUACCAGAACUACAACAGUUAAGAACGUUCUUUGGACCAGUAGUCCGCAAGCUCGGGUUUCCAGCCGAUAUACCUCUGUAAUCAAAAACCUUUAAAACAUUUUUCUCAGGUUAUACAACCCAAAACAGACUUUCCUUUAGUCUAAAACAGGGUACCAAACCAGAUAAGAAAUGAUCAAAAGUUUUCUGAUGCACAGGAUCCUUAGAAAAGGCAAGUGCAGAGCAUACUUCCUUAGGUUUUCAAAAUGAACAAAUUUAAUUCUUUAUUCUUUUUCUUUCUUAGGACUUCAUUUGCAGAGAGAGAGAAGAGUUUUAGGGAUGGAAGUUUGUAAGAAAUUUUAUAAUUAAAAAUUAUAAUUCUUUAAAUAAGGAUAAAAUUGUAAUUAGAAACUAUUUACUCCCAAUCUAAGAUAAAGUAAACACAUAAAUUGGAUUCUGAUCUCCAUUCCAUGCUUCCAUUCCAGUGUAAGUAAACAACCUAUUCCCACUCCACACUCCCAAUCUUAGGAUUCCCACUCUCAAAGAUUCCCAAUCCAAUUCAAAAAGUAAACGCUACCUUAUUUUCAUGUUGAAGCAAUCGGUGAUGGAAAAAAGUUGCAAGUUGAACACUGACAGUGCCCUUAGUGCCCUACCUCUGUUUUUCCAUUUGGAAACAAGCCUUAAAGUGGUGCUCAUCCGGGUUCAAAAUCCGGGUUUCAGAAACCCGAAUUUUUCGGAUUGAACUUGGACAAACCUGGACACGGACACGGACCCGGAUUUUGCGGAUAAGGAAUUUUGAGGGUUGUACUACAAAAAAAGUUGCACGACAUGGGGCUUAUGGAAAUUGGGCUUCAAUUCUGACCCAACAAAGGCCUAAUUUUUUUGAAUGGGCAACCUGGACUUCACUAUUUAUGUCAAAAAAGAAAUGCAUGCCAAUUCAAAAUUAGAAUUUUUAGGGCAAAGGAAAAUUUAUCAUCAAACUGAAAACAGAGACAGGUUAGAACUAGUGUGAUAGCUGAAAAACAUUAGAGGCCAAGUCCCCUUAUAUGUUACGCGGCUACAGGCAUGCGUGAUGCCUCUACUCUCACCGCUACUCUAAUCUUUAUUUAUUUUUGUUUUUAUUUCUUUUUUUAUUUUGUUUAUCUGGGCUCAUAUUGCCCAACUUAUGCUUUAGAAUUUCAGUUUAUUGAAUUGUAAGUUUGUAAAAUAUUAUAUUUUUCCAUUAAUUUAGAAUGAGUUAUAUAUUUAUCUCUAUUGGGUUUAUUGAAUACGGUUAUAUAUUUAUCUCUAUUGGGUUUAAUGUGUAAGUUGCAUAUAUUAACAUGAUAAUGGGGAAUGGACUUGACUCUUUAAGUGUCUGAACUUGAGGUUUGCUUCUUGUGGUUGUUUGUAAUGACCUUUUAAUGAAACUCCCAAAAUUGGUCUGGCCUUGUAUUUUUUGGUUCUCAGAUAAUAAAUUAGCAUGAAUAUUUACCAUACAUACCUAUCUCUAUUUGCCCGUUGAGGUUGGUAUUUGGACUAUGAGUGUAAAUUGGACCAACCCUUGUGCUGUUUCCGCAAAGGUUAAGUAGGGUUAAAGAAAUGCAUUAAUAAUUUCGAGGACGUUACAGGUGUGGUUUGUUAAUAUGAUUCUGGUCGGUUUGGUUAUUCCUUUCUCUUUUUGUAACAUGAGCUAAUUACUUGAUGAACUUUGUUUUUCUUUUCUAUAAAUAUUUCUGGAAAUGAAAAUUUUUUGGAGGAAAAUGAAUGUCUUUAUAGUUGGUUAGUACCCUGAUUAAGUGUGAGUUGAUAUAGUUGUGUAUACCACAUCUGUGUGGUGUGGUAUAUUAAAAUAGAUUGUCUUUUGAUUUUUUGGUUUGUGUGUGAAAAUUUGCAGAUAUGAAUCUAAAUGUAAAGCUGGUUCUAUAAUACAUUAACAAGAGGAGAUAGAGGAGAUGGAUAUAGUUGAAUCCUUAUUUGAUAUUCAAGUGCAAGAUCCGCCAGAGGAGGAUUUCUCUUCUAUUGAUUUGACAUGGACCAAGUUUGGCACGGCUGAGCACCAUGACGAAGUAGCACUAAUUCCUUAUGCACGAGUUGAUUCGUUUAUUAUUGGAGAGUGCUCUAAUGUAGAGUGCCCAACAAGGUUUCAUAUUGAGAGGGGAAGGAAAAGAUCAAGGGGAAGCUUGAAAGAGUAUAAGGACGAUGAAUAUUUGGAAUACAGGCUGUAAGUAUCGUAUUUGUAAAACGCACCGGUUACAUUCCUAUAUUUAAAGAAUACCAUAUUUCAAUGCUGGAAGAUGCAUAAAUUUUUUUCUCCCCCUCUCUAUUUUCUGGGAUUCGUAACUGUUCCAGUAGACAUACCAUAAAUUGAGAAGUUUGAAGUGUUAGCAUCUUUGCUCUGUAUGUCACUUCAAAGUAGGUGGCAUGACAACUUGGUAGAAACUUUGAUUUUUGUUCACCAUUUCUUGUUCAUUUUUUCCACCAAAACAUCUGAAUGUGGCCUUCAUUUUUAGUUAAGAGAUUAUCGACCAUAUAUAUGGUGUCAAUUUUCACUGCUUUUGAGACUAAGAGUAUAACUGGAAUUUAGCAGCUUAUAAUGGAUGAAAACACAUUUAAUUUAACCUUGCAUUGUAACUCUCAUUUUUUGUUGAAAAUAGACCAUGUGAGUACCUAAAAGUAGAUGGAUGUUAGUACACAUGCUCAACAAUUAUUAAUCCCUCAAUUUAAUAUUUUCUGACAUUUUUGUAUUGGUGUUCAUUUGGUCCUGAAAAUUAGUACACACGCUCAACAAGUUUUAAUCCCUUGAUAUUUUUGUAUUAUCUUUUAGGUAUUGGUGCUCUUUUGGUCCUGAAAAUUAUGGGGAAGGUGGUGGUGUGUUACCUAGUCGAAAAUAUCGACUAAAUACCCGAAAUCGUGCUGCCCGACCUCAGUCCAUGCGGGGCUGUACGUGCCAUUUUGUAGUGAAGAGGCUGUAUGCUCGUCCAUCACUAGCACUCCUUAUUUAUAAUGACAGGCGUCAUGUCAACAAGUCAGGUUUUAUCUGCCAUGGGCCCCUUGACAGAGAUGCUAUUGGCCCUGGAGCCAAGAAAAUUCCAUAUAUUUGUAAUGAAAUUCAACAGCAAACUAUGUCUAUGAUCUAUCUUGGCAUUCCUGAAGAGAGUGUGUUAGAGAAACACAUUGAGGGAAUUCAAAGAUAUUGUGGUUCUGAUGCAAAAGUCAAUAGCCUUGCUUCUCAGUAUGUCCAAAAGCUUGGGAUGAUUAUUAGGAGGUCUACCCAUGAGUUGGAUCUAGAUGAUCAAGCUAGCAUACGAUUGUGGGUUGAUCGCAAUAAGAAAUCCAUAUUCUUUUAUCAGGAUUCAUCGGAAACUGAUCCUUUCAUUCUUGGGAUUCAAACAGAAUGGCAGUUGCAACAGAUGAUCCGUUUUGGCCAUCGCAGUCUCAUUGCGGCUGAUUCAACAUUUGGCAUAAAGCGACUUAAGGUAUGCAAUUUCUUACGUGGAUAUAUGGUUAGCUUCAGAAGAAUUUAGGUGGAUGUUUAGUCCAUGUUCUGUCUAAUUUUGCAGUAUCCUUUGUGCACACUUCUCGUUUUCGAUUCAAGACAACACGCACUGCCAGUCGCAUGGGUUGUCACACGUAGCUCUGCGAAGCCUGAUGUGACUAAGUGGAUGAAAUCUCUGCUUGAUCGAGGUCGGAGCAUUGAACCUGGAUGGAAAAUCAGCGGGUUUCUGAUUGAUGAUGCAGCAGCAGAGAUUGAUCCCAUAAGGUAAGUCUUUUGCCAUGGAUUUCAUUAUGAAUUGAGAUUGUGCAAUUUUCCAUGCUCAUGCUUGGUUUCACUUCUGUUUUAGGGAAAUAUUUUGUUGUCCUGUCCUGUUUUCCCUAUGGCGUGUUCGUAGAUCAUGGCUGAGAAAUAUUGUUAAAAAAUGCACCAAUAUCAAAAUUCAGCGGGAAAUUUUCAAGCGUCUAGGAAAUAUAUUGUAUAGCAUAUGGGAUGGAGCUGAUCCUUUUGUUAACUUGGAAGUAUUAAUUCAGGAUUUUGUUGAUCAAACUGCCUUUAUAGAAUAUUUCAAGGCCUCCUGGAUGCCUAAGCUUGGUUAGAUCUCUCUCUCUCUCUCUCUCUCUCUCUCUCUCUCUCUUCCACACACACACUCACUCACAGAUAUAAACAGCUGUCUCACAUGGGUAUAUGCUUUCUCAUCUUGUUGAAAUCGUCUUAUACUUUACUAUUUUUAAUAGAAAAUAUUGCUAUGUUUAUCUUUUGAACAGCGAUGUGGCUGUCAACUAUGAGAGCUCUUCCACUUGCAAGUCAGGAGGCAUCUGGUGCCAUAGAGGCCUAUCAUGUGAAGCUGAAAACCAAAUUGUUCGAUGAUUCACAUCUUGGUGCACUCCAGAGAGUUGACUGGUUAGUACACAAGUUGACAACUGAGUUGCAUUCUAGCUACUGGCUUGAUCGAUAUGCAGAUGAAAGUGAUUCUUUCCAAAAUGUUAAGGAUGAAUAUAUUGCAUCUACAUCAUGGCAUCGCGCAAUGCAAAUUCCCAAUUCUGCUGUUACCUUGGAUGAUAAAGAGCAUCUCUUUGCCAGGGUCUCAAGCCAGAAAGACAGCAGUCUGACACAUCUAGUGUGGAAUCCUGGAUCAGAAUUUGCUUUUUGUGAUUGUGCAUGGUCAAUGCAAGGAAAUAUUUGCAAGCAUGUCGUCAAAGUCAAUAUGAUAUGUGGAAACAAUGAAGGAUAUCAGCCUUCCAUGUCUUUUCAGUCACUUAGAGAGGUACUGAUGAACUUGUGGAGAAAACCGAUGGAUGACUCAGUUGAGCUAGAUCUGUCGGUUGCCUGGACCCACAACAUGCUUGAUCAAAUUAAACAACUUGUUGAAUUGAGCAGUUCAGAUGAUAUAGGUGCGGUGGUUAAUAAUCUGCCUUUGAAAUGGGUUUCCAAGAAAGGCAGGACAUCUGUUGGUAUACCAUCAUCAACUCUGGCUCUUCCUUCGAGUUCUAAGAGCUCCACUGUACAUAAAAAGAACCGAAAACGAAAAAGAUUAUCAAGAUUAAGAUGAUUGCGUAGCUGGAAGCUAAAGAACUGCUUCAUAGAUAACUUUGACAUCUGAUAAUUGGAUUUUGCUGAUAGCAUUAUUUGAUUUUGGCUCCAGCUUAGACCAGCUUAACUCGUUUCCUGGUAGAGCUUUAAUCUCUCAAUUUUUUGUUUUCUUGAUUAGAAUAUACCAGACAACCACCAAAGAUAUAUAUUGAUAAAUGAUAUGGUUUCUUAAUGGUUUGAAAAAUGUAAAGAUGCUAUUGAAGAAAUUGAAGACGCAUCUAGGAAUAUGCUUUCUUGCAUAUUCAUCUUUGGGCAAGUUCCUGUGUAGAGGCAUCAUCGAAAAGGUAGCAAUCGAGAUCUCCUCCACACUUUUAGAUGGCUUUUACGAGCAUUUAACUUUUCUUGUGCUCCCGUUCCCUGUGUUUAUUUCUUUUGGCUAUUCUUUCUUUCUCAUCUGGAAAGCUCACAAAUAGGAGUAUGGGCAGAAUUCAUCUUAUAAUUGAUCAUUAUAUGAUUAUCAUUUUGGAAAGGAUUUGCGUACAGGAUGUAUAUAAACAUUUGAGAUGAUAAUAGAAUAAUUUUUCAUACAUGCAGACCAUUGUUCAGUGGAAUUUCUUCUAAUGUAUUUGAAACAUGUUAAAGUGUUAUGGUCCAUGUUCCAUCAAAGGCAUUGGAGAGGUAGGGUUUGAAAUUUUUAUAAACAGAUAUUUUUUUGUGUCAUUAGGUUAAUGUAGCUCAUGUACUAAACAGAUAAUACAGUAUAUUGUAUACUGUUUUUCAUGUUGAGGUCAUCGUGAUAGGGUUUGAAUCCUUGAUCCCUCUAAGUGGAUCGAUCAUGUACCAAUUGCUUGAAGCCAUUUUUAUAUGUUUCCUGUAAUGUGACUUGAAAUCAACCCGUUAACCCAAAUUAUCACUUUUUUUUCUUUUUCUUUUUCUUUUUUUGUUGGGCCAUUUUGGUCAAUUACAAGAGUUAAGUUUUCUCAUGUUGUUUUUAUGGGUUAAUUUUGGGUUAUCCCCAUAAAUUAUUGUAAAUUUUAAUUUAUCCUUCAUUUUUAAUUUUUUACUAGGAAGAUAAAAGAAUUUUCAUUAGUGGCAGCUUUGGAAGGUAUUUUAACAAUUGUCAUUUUAUGAGCGUAAAAUCCAAAAUUAAGUGCUUUUAUACCUCAGGCCUCAGCAAUGGCAUGCCAUAAUACUGUUUGAGUAAUAAAAGAGCAAAUUUAAUAUCAAGUUGAUAAGAAAUUUAAUUUGUGGUUUCGUUUCCAUGCGCGGGUGAAUAAAACUGGAUAAGCUCUUAGGAUGCAAUAAUAACAAAUAAUAUGAAUAAUGCGCUUUUUGAGAUAAAUACUGUAAGUAAAUUGAUGAAUGAAAUCAGUGUUUGGACGACUAGGCCUAAUAACUCUUCAAUCUUUAUAUUUUAAAAAAUAUCUCAACACAGUCUUAGCGUUAAAUAUGUUACAACUUUAUUAUUACUUUUUUCUUUCUUUUUACAAUAACAUCAUUGCAAUAAUCUUCCUACCUUCUUGAGAAUAUUAAAAAAAAAGAAAAUAAUAUUAAUUUAUCAAAUUAGCAUUAAAAUAACAUAAAAAUUUAUGGAAAUUUUUAUGUUAUUAUUUUACUUGGAGGAUUAAUUUUGGUAAAAUUAUUUUUUAUAUAAUAACUAUUAGUAAAAUUGUUUCAAGGAUAUUAAACAUUACUUUAAGUUAGUACAUAAAUUAUUAGCAAGAUUGUCAUACGAGUAUAAAAAAUAGUAGUUCUCUCAUAUUGAUAUUUAUUGGUUAAUUUGCUAACUAAAAUUUUUGUAGAUAAAUUAAUUACGGCCAAGAAUAUUAUUGUAAAAGAAAAGAAAAAGAAAAGAUAAGAACGUAACUUAUUUAAUUAUAAAGAUAUUUUGAGGUAUUUUUUAAAAUAUAAAGAUUAAAUAGAGUGAAAAUAUAGAGAAUAAAUACAAAUUGUUGAAUGAAAUUUUAUGUUGUUGAAUGAAAAUUUUUCUUGAACCACGUAUAAGUUAAUCAUGUUGUGCCAAGGGACUUGUAUAAAAAUAAUUUACAGAAGAAUUUGUAGGUAGUAUUACACUAAACAUAUAACAAAAAUGUUGAGGUGAGAUUACUGUAAUCCGUAUUCAGUUUCUGCCCUUCUGGCAAGAAGAUACUGAAGACAAACUCUGAUUCGAAAGUGGGCCAGAAUUUGACGCUCACCACAAGACUUCCAAGUGCACAAAGUGGCAUUGAAGUGCAAAGUUUACCAAUAGGAGUGAGGCAAUCUCACCUUAUCCACACUCCCACCACAAUCUUCUAUCACAAUUCAUCAUCAAAUCUCCAUCAUUUAUCCACAACUCACAAACACAAAAGCAAAUUAAGCCACCAUUUUGUUCUCAACUUCGUGAACUUUGUAAAACAAAAAAAAAAAUUUGCGCUGCAGCAGGAGCGAUGGCAGCCAUGAACUCUAGUGUACUCGCAUGCAACUAUGCCAUUUCAGGCAGUGCUGGAUCAUCUGAGCUCAAUGCAAAGAUUGUUUCGGUUUCAACCCCGGCUGUGCAUGGCCACAAAAUGCCUGUGAUCAGAGCUCAACAAGUUGAUGUUUCAAAAGAAUCAAGAGGAACUGAUGGAAGGAGAGCUGCCAUGGCUCUUCUAGCAGUUACCCUUUUCACCACAGCUACUGCUGCUGCUUCUUCUGCUAAUGCUGGGGUCAUCGAUGAAUACCUUGAGAGAAGCAAAGCCAACAAGGUUAAUUUAAUUUGUUUACUUAAAAAUAUUGAAUGAUCAUCAAUUUCUAGUAAGUUGAUUCUCAACAAUGAAUGGAUUUUUUUUCCAGGAAUUGAAUGACCAGAAGAGAUUGGCAACAAGUGGUGCAAACUUUGCCAGAGCAUACACUGUUCAAUUUGGCACAUGCAAGUUCCCUGAGAACUUCACAGGCUGCCAAGAUCUUGCCAAGCAAAAGGUUUUUAUCAGAUUCAAACUCUAUCCCUUCAUUCGUUUGGUGUUGAUUUGUGUUGAGUAAUUUUAUUUUAUUUUCAAUUUUAUUUUUUUGCAGAAAGUGCCAUUCAUCUCGGAUGAUUUGGAAUUGGAGUGCAAAGGGAAAGAUAAAUACAAGUGUGGUUCCAAUGUUUUCUGGAAAUGGUGAAGUGGGACAACUGAUCUCUUUAAACAUUUUAUUUUACCCUCCCAUGUAUCUAAGUUUCCAUUGAAGAAGCUUUACUUGUGCUUAUUUGUGUGUUAUAUUUUUCUGCUCAGUAUCUUUUUAUAUCCUCAUCAUGUUUUUGCCUUUUUGGAAGAAAAUUGGGGUUAGUUAUGUAAGCAAGAGCUAAAUGGCUACACUUGUCUGCUGUACGGCCAAGGCGGAUUACACUUGUCACCUAGUUUCAAUUUAAGGAAUUGGGGUUAGUUAUGUAAGCAAGAGCUAAAUGGCUACACUUGUCACCUAGUUUCAAUUUAAGGAAAAAAAAAAAAUCUGUUUUCAGAAAGUUCCCAAUGAGCUACAUAAGGGGCUGGUAGGAGUUAAAAAAUAGAACAAAAUUCAUCAUUCUCUAAUAAAUUACAAGUUCUUCUUUCGUGUUACAUUUUUCUGUAUAAAUUCUAACCAGAUUCCAAUAAGUUCAUUUAAAGAUCCUGAAACUGAAUUUGUAGAAUUGGCAAUCAAUUAUAAAGAAUCAAUAUAAACAUAGCAAACUUGUUUAACAGAGAAACUAAUCUGGUACCAUAAACCUGUCUAAACCUGCAUGUCCUAACUGCAGAAGAAAUCACAUCUUUCGCCAAAAUUGUAAGCCUGCACUCAGCCGGAACUUUAACUAGCUUCAUUGAACGUCUUGCUUAAACGACGUUCAUGCGUAUUGAACUCAUUUCUACCCAAAGUUUAGUUCAUAUCGGAGUCCCAGGUUGCUGAAGCAGUUUCCAUUCCUAAAAUGCAAUUCACUUGAACCCCAAAGUUCAAAUCUUCCCUAGAAAACUCAAGAAAAAGAACACCAAGAUGAACUUUUGUUUUGUAACUGGGGACAUGGCAAAGGGAACACCUGACUGGUAAAACCUGAAACGAAUUGACAUUGCCAUUUCGCCGAUGGGGCUAGACCUAAUAAACUAACAUUUUUCAUGCAGAUCUCUUCAAAUUGUGUACCUAUAAUGCCUGCCAGUACUGGGGCUUUUGUUGUAUUUUCGCUGACCACAUUAACAAAAGAAAUACCCCUUAUUUUAGGAAGAGCUUUGGGAUCCCAUCCUUCAUCCGGAUGGUCAUUAGAACCUCGACUGAUCCUUAUAGGUAUCUUGACUCUCUCCAUUUUUAUAUUCCUUAUGGUGAUAUUUUCAAUAUACCCGCCUCUACCUUUGUCGGUCUUUAUACGAACCCCAGCUGCUGCAUCCCAAACAUGCAAUUGAUCUACAGUUACAUUAAAAAUCCCUCCAGACAUCUCACUACCUAUUCCAACUCCUGAACAAGUUGGGGUAGUGCCCGAAACUCUCCUCACUACGAUGUUUGAACUUGGACGAGCCAUUGCAAUGCCAUAAUGGUCCCAUCCGCUCUUCACAGCCACCAGAUCAUCCCCACUUUCAAUGUAACAAUCUUCAAUACACACAUUCGUGCUCGAGUCUGUAUAAUGUUUUGUAUAGGUUUGUGAAUUAGAAGCUUAAAAGGCAAUACUGACCGAGAAAAAAAGGGAAAAUAAAGAAAAUGUGAUAGAAAAGAGAGUAUUGUCUACCUGGGUCUAUACCAUCAGUAUUUGGUGCAUUAAGAGGAGCCAGGAUUGUCAUCCCUUUGAUAACAACAUUCCUGAAACAAAUGCAAUGCUGCCCAUUAGUGCUCAACUAGAUGAUUCAUAAGUGUUAUUUUCUGUUUCACAUUAAUGCUAAGUUGCUAAUUGUUAUGGCCCCUGCACAAGGAUAAAAAUGCUGCUAGGCUGGGGCAAAGUUCUAUCUUCAAGGACACCAGGUGGGAGACAGAGUUGUACACUUUUCCUACUAUUUUUUUUCUUAAAAGAAGGGUUAAAAAAAAGGUGGUCAUUUGGAUGAAUUUAUAAAUUAGAAAGAACAAAAUGUAUUCAGCUUAAUUUCAAAUAUUAAACAAUAAACUUGAAUACAACAGGCACUAUUGAAGACAUAAACAGAUUAAAAGAAAAUAAGAUUGAAAACCAAAAAUGUCGAACCUGCAGUAAACAGGGUGGAUAGUCCAAAACGGAGAAUUACGGAAGGUGAGAUUAGAGAUUAGGAUAUUGUUAGAGUUCAUCAGUUCCACAAGAUGGCCUCUUGUGUGCUUCAGUGUUCUGUUCCACCAUAAAUCCCACCACAUCUGUCCUUGACCAUCAAUCGUUCCAUUAUAUCCUGUAAACUUAAUAACGAUCUUAUAAACUUAAUAAUUUCAUGGAUCCAAACAAUAGUGUUGAUUCUCAAGGACUAAAAUAAGAAUUAAUAACAAAAGAAGCACACAUGAUAUAAUGAUCCAAUUAAUAUGUAAUUGCCAUUUUCUUUUCCAUUCCCUUUUUAAAUGACACCAAAAAAUCAAAGUGACAAUUCUCCUCUGUCCCUUCUCUUUUCAUCUCCUUUCUACAUUUUCCUUUCUCUCUAAUCGAUUUGAGUUCCCAAGGUAUUCCCCCCAAGCCCAAAACAAAUAAACUUUUACAUAUUCCAAGCAUAAUGCUCGUCAUAAAAGGUAAAAUAAUAUUUCUAGGGGAUAAGUAAAACCAUAUCAUUAUUUUACAGUUUCAAAAAUAUACAGUGUGUGAAGAAUUUUUCCUUCUACAACAACCUGGAAAUAGAGAAGCAUCAAAAGAUCAUUUAUUGAUGUAAAGAAUCCAUUAGUUCCAUUAUCAAUAAAAUAGUCCAUUUAGUCAUCCACAACAUUCAAGAUAAGCCUAUUUUAUUCUUCUUAAUUCGCAAAAAAUGUCCAACUAAUUUUGGAAUACCGGAUCAUAAUAUUAAAAGUUAGAUAUUAUCAAAAGCAACCCACAUCUUCUUUUUUCUUCUUUUGUGUACCUCCUUUUUCAUUGUGAACGCACCAUCAGACAUAACUUAUGCUUUCAACUAUAAUAAUUACAAAUAAUGUGCUUAAUAUACCUGUUAUAAUGACAUUGGUCAAAUGAUCCCCAUGAAUUAGGCUAAUAUGUCUCCCUCCUAAUCUCUCCCUCCCUCUUCCAUAAGAAGGCAAAGGAUCUAUGAUAGGCCAUUCAUCCAUGUCCUGUUAAAAAUAGAAAGAAACAAAUUAGAAACUAAACAAAACAAAAUUAUUUAUAAGCUGAGCCAUGGAACCAUAAACAUUUUCUUCUUUUGAACACAGGGAACCAUAAACUUGAUCACUUACAUAAUGAUGGACAGCUAGUCACAUAACCAAAUCCUUUGUAUGCAUACAUACAGACACACACACAUUACAUACACAUUCAUACUAAAGAAUAGUAACAAAUUUAAUACAUUAUUAUGGUGGGUCCCGCUAAUUCGACCUUAAAUAUGAACACAAAUAAAAUCAGAGCACACCAACCUUCUAUGUCUUUAAAUUUAAAGAAAAAAAGUGGCAAAAAGGACAAAAUGAGCAUAAGAACCGUGACCAAACCAAAUACACAUUAAAAUAUUUGACGCCCCGUCAAAUUAAAUUCUUCAUUUCACCUUUUCAAACCCUUUUCAUCUCUCAAAUUUCAAAUAGACUAAAAUAUGCUGAAAAAAGAAAAAAGAAAAAAAGCUAACAAAAUCCUAUUGUCAUCCAUUCACAUCAUCACUUUGACGUUUCAUUACGAGUUUAACGUUUCAUAUUUUCGGUCAUCUCAUUCAUAUUUGUAUCUUAUUAUAUAAUCACUCAAAAUAAUAAAUUAAUAAUAAUGAUGAUAAAAAAAGAAAGAGAGAGAGAUUAUUUUAAUACCUGAGAGCCUAAAAUGACAGCGCCUUUUUCAAGAAACAGCGUGAAGUUACUGGUGAGAUUGAAGCUUCCGGUGAGCCACAAGCCUUCCGGAACGUUCAACUGGGCCCCACCUUUGUCGCCGAAGCCUUGCAUGUACCGAACCGCUUUCCGGAACGCUUCUGUAUUCGACGUCGUCCCGUCUCCAACUCCUCCGAAAUCCUUUAUCGACAUCACGACUUUUCUCUCCGGCAAGUACUGAUCCCCCAGCAACCCGGCGGCACACGAGUCCGGGUCGAAUAUCGCUCCAUCGGCUCCCGAGAAACCGACCCGUUUGGGCGACAAAACGGACUUCUUUGUGAUUUGUAAGGAGAGGAUUGUUAUGAGAGUGACGAUUAGCACAAGUGUCGCCCAUGAUGGCCGGCUGAAAUUCCCCUUCAGCUUUUCUGAUUUCAUUGCCUUUUCUUUUUGCAUGCAUGUAAGAUGUAACAAAACAAAACAAUAAUAAUAAUAAGUACCGAAAAAUAAGUAUUAUUUUCUAUUUUUAUUUUUAUUUAGUUUUUGCAUGCACGAGAAGGAAAAUAAGAAGAUAUGAUCAAGAAAUAGAAAUUAAAAAUUUUCGAUGGUGUAGCUGAGAGAGAAUGGUAGUUGUUCUGUUUCUUAAUUUAAUUAAGGAAACGUGAAGGAGAAGAAUUGGAAAGAAGGUGAAUGGGUAGAUGCGUUCUGCGCUUACCCGCGUACUUUAGCAUGCAGUUGAAAACGUGUGACGUGUCUCUCCGGUUCGGACACUACAAGGGGAAACUUCGAUCCAGCUUGUACGUGACUGGAAGGGGGUUCUGAUUAGUGUGAGGCCAGUUGUAUUCUUGUCCGGCAUAAGUCCCUACAGUUUAUUGACACGUACGCAGGGUCUUGUUGAAUUGGGCUACGUGGCGAUAGAUUGUUGCUUUUGCAAGUUCGUGUUUUUGUACAGGAAGGCGACGGAAAGAGCCGAUAUUCACGGGACGGGACCCGUCGAAAAUUAUUUCUUUUUGGUAGAGGUUAUUAGUUUUAUGAGUUUCUAUUGCGUGUCGAGCAUGCAUUGAGAUUGCUAUGCAGAUGAAGAACACGUGGAGGCGAUGAUUUGCGUGUGGGAUCCGCGGCCAAUUAAGAUAACUGUUUUCUAGUCUUAAAGCUUGUAGUGCGCUUGAUGAUUCCCAUUUCCCAGCGGUUGUAAGCCAAAUCUUAUUUUGUGGGCCAUGAUGGCUUUUUGGAGUAUGGAGCCCCCAACAACGUUCCGGUUGUCUUUCCUUCCCUGUUUUUUAUUCUUCAUAACUUAUUUUUGAGUUAUCAUAAUUUCACUAUUUUAAGAAUUAUAAAAUAUCAAAUCAUUAUAAUAUUUUCUAUCACUUUAUUAUUGUGAUUUUAUAAAAUUUUUUAUUUUAUUAUAUUUUUGUUAGGGCCGUUGGUUGAUCAACUAGUUGACUAGUAAACUAUAAUUUUAUUCUUUAUAAUAAAAUGCAUAAAUAGAGACAUUAAAUAAUAGACAUAAGAUUGUUGUUAUAUCCUUAAAUUAUUAAAUAAUAGUUUUAACUAUGAAUUUAUGAAUACCACUAAAUUUAUUACAACUAUAAAAAUAGUAAAGUACAAAUGCUACUAAAUAUUUUUGUUAAAAAAAAGCUAAAAAAACUUAAAUAUGGAAGUGUUGAUUGCGUAGAUAAACUUUAAUUUUUUUUAAGAAUAGAUUGUGUAAUUUUUAAAAAAAAUAUCUAGAGGUAUUUUUAUCAAUUUUUUACUUUUAUAGCUAUAAUAAAUUCAAGGUUAUUUAUCAAUUCAUGGUUAAAAUUAUUAUUUAAUAAUUUAAGGACAUAACAUAAUUUUUUUGUCUACUAUUUGACACUCUAUUUGUGUAUUUUACAGUAAAGGGUAAGAUUAAUAUUUUACUAGUCAACUAACUGGUCAACUAAUGAUUUUAAUAAAAAAGUUUCAUUUUACAAAAUUAUAGUAGUAAAAUAAUAAGGAACAAUAUUUCUUGUAGUCAUUUGAUAUUUUACAAUUUUUAAAAUAGUGAAAUGAUUAUAACCAUUUAUUUUUAUUUUUUUAUUCUUCAUAAUUUAUUUGUUUAUUAUUAUCAUUGUAUGAUUCUCAUUUUAUUUUAACUUUUACCUAGUAACUGUAAAUCGAAACUUUAGGUUAAAUUUUACGUUUAAAUAUAAAUACAAUAUUCCCUUCAAAUGAAAACAAGUGAAUAGUGAGCGGGGACGUUGACCCCUAACUGCUGCAAGGCUAUCUCUUCCCAUGCCGCUGCUAUCUCUCCAACCACCACCUUUCUUUCAUUUUUUUUCUCAUCGAACUAUAGCGAAUCAAGACACAUCGUCACUGCCACCACAUUCAGAAUUUUCAGAUCCACUUGUCGUCUUGUCCAUAACCUUCCACAAGUUGCUACCACGGGAGUUCACCGCCACCACCACCGCUCCAGCGUCCUCUUAUCUCUCAACUUUCAAGCUUAUCAACUCACCGCCGACAUUGAUCCGCCACCUCGCCAAGCCUUCAGGCUCCCGGAAGCUACAACAUCGCCAAGCCUCCACCGCACCAACAGCCACAAAAUUUCCCGUUGCUUGAUGCUCGCUCCUCUGCUCCGCAGAACCAGUAUCAUGACACCAUCACCAACCAUCGGCGUUCUCCAGCUAUGGCAAGCCGGCAAUCUUUCAUGAUUUUGUUUUUACCUCUUAUUACUUACAACGGCUGUUGAGUUAGGGCUUGGGAUAUUUUCCUCCAGUUAAGUUAGGCAUUUUGAAAUUUCUAUUGGUUGGCUACGUUUAGCUUGUGCAACUCCAGACAUAUGUAUGAUUAUAAGUUUAGUUGAAUUAGAUGCCGUAUUAUAUUUAUCGUUUAGUUGGUAAAGUAAAUUGCUUGCUACUAUUUCUUUUUAAAUUUUUAUGACUUAGAUUUGGUAUGUUUUUUAAUUUAAGUUACAUAAAUUUUAUUUUAUGAAAAUGAUUCUGUUUGUUUUGUUAUCUUUCAUUUAUUUUUGUCAUUUAGUUGGGGCAAAAUGGUAACUUUAUAUUCAAGGGCAAACUUAUCAUUUCAUUAAUAUUAUUAACAGAGUUAAGACGACAGUGAACAACUGAAAUAUUAUGUAAACUUUAAAUGGAUUUCUGAAAGAAAAAAAAAGAUUUGUGCUCUUUUGAAAAAAUCCAAAACAUCAUGUGCUCAUGAAUCAUUGCCUAAUAAAUUUAUUCAUAGAAAAUGUUAAUUUACAAAUUAACUUUAAAAAUAAAGUAAGAAUCUAAUGUAAUUUUUUUAUCGUUUCACUUUUAUGAUUAAUAUGGUAAAUUAAUUUCUAAGUAUUAGUAAGAUUAUAAUUAAAACAUAUUAGUAAGAUUAUAAUUAUUAGCAAUAAUUAUUAAACAUUACUUUAAUUUAGCAAGUGUUGAUAUUUUUAAAAAUUAGAAUAUUGAUAACAGUUCAUUCAGACUAAUAAUUAUUGGUUAAUUUUUAAUUAAUUUUUUCAUUUAUUAAUAAUUAAUAUCACCAAAAUUAUAGUAAGGAUAUUAUUGUAUAAGAAAGGAAAAAAAAAAUAAGAGCAAGAGGGUUACCCAUUCAAUUGCAAGUGUAUCUUGAGACACUUUUCAAUAUAUAGGGAGUAAACGGCUACCUAACUUAAAGGGUUAGGAUAUUUGUAUCCCAUUAUUUCCGUAAAUCCACCCACUUUCAAAAUAUAUUUACAAUAAAUUCACAUUAUUUCUAACAAAUACAAAUCAACACAAAUAUUUUUAUAAUUAAUCAAUUAAAUCAUUCUCAUAUUUUUUUUCUCGCUUAGGCUUUUUCCAAACUUUUUUUACGAUUGAGGUUGGUUUGAUAUAAAAUGAAUCAAUUCUCCAAAGAAAUAUGUGUUCGUAUAUUUAAUACUUUAGGUACUUAAUUUUGUGACUGAUAAUCUAACUCUUGAAACGGUGCCUAAUAAUUUUUAAUAUUUAAUAUGUAAAUGACAUAAAUUUUACAGCUUAAUAAUUUACAUGAGUAUUGUCUCAUAAUGACAUUAAGUUACCUUAAUUAAAUGUUAAUAAUCAUACUAAUAAAGUAGAAUUGACCAUUUAGAAACAAUUAAUUUUGUAUAAAAUUAAAAAAAAAUUGAAAGUAAAGUAAAUUUUUGUUUCUUUACAUUUAAGGGUAAAAUAGUCAAUUUAAUUAUACGUUAAAACAAUCUUAAUAGUCAAAUAUAAUAAACAACUCUAAAUCACAAAAACAAAAUCAAAAUAUCACAAAGAAACUAAAUUAAGAUAUAUCUAGUUGAUUAAUUCUUCAAAAUUCUUCUUUAUUUGAAAUUUUUAAAAAUAAUGUGCACUUAAAAAUUUUAUAAUUAUUUUUUAAAAGUAGAGUAGAUUUACAGAAUUUACCAAGUGGACAUAUCACUACCCUAACCUAAAAUAUAAGCGAGCAUUUAACCUUUAAAUAUUUACUAUGGGAUUGCAUGAUAUGAAUAGUUGAACUUUUAUAUAAUUAAUAUUUAAAUUUAAAUAAUAACCUCACCCAAUAAAAAAUAAAUAAAUUUUAAAAUAUUGUUCUCUUGAGACUCUAGGAUUUUUGUUCGGUGAGAAAGAGAUGACAUAAUCAUAAAAAAUAUAAAAAUUGUUAAAAUUACAAUGAUAUUUUUAUUAAGGCGUAUACAGUUUUUGCUUUAUUUGUCUGCUGCAUUUAUCUGUCCAUAAUUGGCAUAUAACUAUUUGCAUUAUCGACUUGCAUGGGUUAAUAUGAGCCUAUGCUAUUUCUCUGUAUCAAUGCUCGUUCUGAACGUGAGGACCAACAUAUCUUAAAUGAGUUACAAUGUGUCAUGUUUCUUUACUUGUAACGAGACUUUUAAACGAGACUUUUCUUAAUGUUUCUAUUUAUUUUGAUGAAUCGAUCGUUUUGGUUUGAAACGGAGAAAUAUGCUUAAUGAUUUGCUUGCCUUGUAAUUUAAUAAUUCGCCUGCUUUUAUUCUGAUAAUUCGCUCUCGCUCUGUAUUGAGAGUACUGCGGUAGUUCAAUUGCUUCUUUCCUAAAAAACGUUUUGGAGCUUCGGCCGGAUUGAGACUCUGAUAGUUCAAUGGCUAGUUUUCUUUCUUUCUUUCUUUUUUUUUUUAAAUUUCUUUUGGAUUAUAAUUAUGAAAAUUUUCCUUUGACUUGAGAAACUUGUUUAUGAACAGGGGUUGGCAAAAAAAAACUUGAGCACGUACAAAUUGUACGGCACAAUAGAGAUAAAUAAAAGAUAACAAGCGAUUGGUACUGAGUAAUUUGUUUGCUGAAUAAUUUUUAAUUUUAAUUGGACAACGGAUAAUUUUUAUUUUUCAUUGAACAACAGAAGAAAAAAAUAUUAAAGAGAAAUAGGAGCUAAUAAAGUAUGUUUAUAUAGAAAGAAAGAAAUCAUGUUCCACAUGAAAAAGGAUGAGAAACAGGAAUAUGGUAAACCGAAUCAUAUGCGAACACCUUCAUCGGAUGGUGAAGCAAGUAAUUUUAGUUUCCCCAAAUAUUUUAUCAUUAUUUUUUUAUAUAAUUUGUAUUGAAUAUUAUCAAUGAAAUAUAUUUCAGUUUUCGAACUCACAUAUACAAGUGCACUUUUAAUAGCAAAAGGAUUAAAAAAUAGUGAUAAUAAGAUUAAGUAUGUUAUCUUUGUUGAGCUUUUUUUUUUUUCAAUAAUAUAUUCAUUGAGUAAUUUCAUGAAUUGUAUGUGUUAAAUAUAUAAAAAUUGACUUUCAAGAGCGUAUGAUAAAACGUGAUUACACUAACAUAUAAAUUAAAAUUAUUAGUGUCAAUAUUUAUGAAGUAUGAACCAUCAUUAAAGAAGAAAGAAUAAAGUAAAUUUUAAUGUAUUCAAAAUUAGAAAAUUAUUAUUUUCCUUUUUAGUAAUUGUCGUGGAUAAAAUUAUAACCAAAAAAUAAUAAUAAAAAAAGCUGCAAGCAAAAGCGACACUAUUCUUGAAAUUGAAAAUUGUAAAAUUUGGAUCUUCCAAUCAUGUGUUUAGUUGGAAGAAAUGAUAGGAGAUGAGAAGAAUGGAAAUGGAUAAAAAAAGAGAAUCAAUCUUAUUUUUGUUAUUUGGCUAGAUGUGAAAUUCAUCUUUUUCUCUUUAUUUCUUUCUCUUCUCCCAUUUUCCUCUCCUCAAGUCCACCAAACAGCGAAGCAUUUUAGAGUAUACCAAACCUACUAUAUCUAAUUAAUAUCAUAUAAUAUACCUAUGAUAUGUAUAAUUUAAUAAAAUAUAAUAUUAAUUACAAAGUAAUUUUUUGAAAAAAAUGUAUAUACAACAUAUACACAUUAAUUAGAUGUAGUAACUUUAUGAAGAAUGAAGAAAUUAAUGUGAGGGAUUAAAAAUAAUAAAUAAAAAUAAAAAUAGCUCGCCCAUUUCUCUCUACUCUCCUUGCCUUCAUACUCAGCCCUCAUUACUGCCAGAUAUUGGCCACUUGCUUCACCGGAAUCUCGCCAAUGUCUAGAAAUUGAACACUGCUAGAUGCCAUAGGCCAAAACCACGGCCGCUGUUGGUAAAUCUUCGUAUCAAACCUCUUUAAUUAAUUUUGUCAAUAGAAUUUUACAAUUGUAUAAAUUUAAUUUAUGUCCAUUCCUGUUAAUUCAUUCUAAAAUUGUUGCUCAAUAAUUAACAAUAACUCUUACGGAGAGGAGUGCAAGUCCAAAUGUGAAUUUGGAUAGAAUAUCUACACUACUGAACUAAUAUUGUAAUAUCUCAUAUCACUAGUGAGUGAGCUCGUGGACUAAGUAGACAUGUUUUUGAGUUAUGAAACCCAAUAAUAAAAUUGUGGGACUAUAUGCCCAAAGAAAACAAUAUCUACUUAAUUAUUGGGCCUAAACUAUUACAUUUAGUAUCAGAGCUAACUCACUACCUGAUGUAUGGAUAGAUGGAUUUACCAAUAUGGUAUCGUUUCAUUCUAUUUCCAAUGGCCUUCAUGAGGAUGUGAGGUUCUCAAGGGAAAAUAUGUAAUAUCCGAUAUUACUAGCGAAUGACUUCCUAAACUAAUUUGUAAGUCAUAGACUCUCCUAACUAAGUAGAUGCAUUUUGAGUUGUAAAACCAAUAACAAAAUUGUAACGAGCUGUGUACCCAAAUCGAACAACAUCUAUUUUGUUGUUGGGCUUAGGCAUAUUCUCUCAUUCCUAUCGGUAUCUACUUGGUGCAAUUAGAAAUAUUGCACCACAUUCUCCCAUUCCUAUCUAUAUCUUUUUAGUUGUUGAGGUCGGGCAAUUACAAAUAUGAUGCAACAAGAUUUUGUUUAAAUUUGAUUGCUAUCUGUUUAGUUUUAGGAAACAAAAGAAGGGCUCGAAGUUCUUGGAACUAAAUUUGCUCGAUCGUCAUAUGAUUGCAAUUAGUUUAGAGAAGUUCAUGCUUAGCGUGCGAUUAUCAGAUGAUCUAGAGCUUGUGUAGAACUUAAGCAGAAGCCUUGUAUUGAACAUACAGAGAUGCCUUACCUAUGCAAUUGGAAGUAAUGUCAAAGAGUUAAAACUUAUAGUUAAUUGUACUUGUGGGAAUUACUAUUUGUCUCAAUUAGUUUUCUAUGUGAAAUCAAUUGUUGCACUAGAAUUACAUUAUUGUAAACUGGAGUCGCCUAGAAUUAGCGUGACUUUUUCUUCUUUGAGGUAUGAAGCUGAUCAAGUAUUUAAGGAUCUAGCGGCUAGGUAUGAAUCUUUUCUAUGUCAAGGAUUGAGAAGCCUAUAGUUAUUGUUGGGGGUUGUUUGUUAAAUAUUUAAUUUCAAACCAUUUCUAAAAUUUAUUUGUUUGUGUUUUUGUAACUUAUGUUUGAUUUUAAUACAUUUACAUCUGAAUAGAAAAUGUAAAUUUUUAGGAAAAUGUAUAAAUGAAAAGUAAAAAUUAUUUUCCAAAAUAUCUUUAUAAAAAUAUAUUUAUUUUCGAAACUAUAAAAUUUAGUCCUUUUUUAUUUUAGUCUUUAAGGACAUAUAUGUCAAAUAAUUGAAGAAUAUAAAUGUCAAAUAAUUAUGUUUAAGAUUUUUUUAUUUAUAAAAACAAACAAAAAAACCACUUGUAUUCAGAUAAUAAAAAAAAAAAUUCAAAUAUUCGUACUUAGGCCUACUACACUAUCCCGCAUCAGUGUAUCCUAUUGGAAGAAUCUGAAAAAAUUAAAAUUAGGCCAGCUUUUGAUACGGAUAAGUGGUUUUGCUACCAAAUUUCUCAAAUUCCGUUCCUAGAGUACUUAAGAGAAUAUUGAUUUACGAAGUUAAGAAGUAUUAAGAUUUCAGGUUGCUGUAUUAAGGCUUAUGUGCAAAAGCAAUGACACGUUGGAUGAGUUCAAACUUGAAAAUAAAAAUUUUAAACACAUUUUAAUAUAUUAGGCUUUGUCUGAAACUAUAUCGUUUUUUCAGAUCUGAUAAUAUUGACAAUCAAUAGAACCUGAAAUUGAUUGGACUUCUUGCACAGUUCAAUAGUUGUCCCAAAGUGUUAAACUUGCAAUGUAGUCACGAGGUUAUGCCUUCCAAACUCUUACAUGAAAUUUUCUAUCUUUUUCUAGUAAAUGAUUGCAAUACAUUACCUAAUUUUAUUUUUUUCAAAUUUUUUUCCUGAAGGCUGUGACUAUACCAAGAGAAUUGCGUGAAAUCUUAUGGCCCCUAUUAGCUUAUGGCGAGCAUGUGUGCUUUUUUGGUUUAUCUUGCUGAAAUGAGGUUUUUUUUUUUUUUUUUUUUUUUGGCUCCCUUUCAAAUGGCAACUCCUUUCUAACUAUGAACAAUUUAAGCUAUGAAUGAUUACUAUCAUAUAAUGCUCUCUCUCUUUUUCUUUUUUUAAAUCAACUUAUUUGAUAUGUAGACACCUUAUCCUCUUUUGUAAUUGCUUUAAUUUUUAGUAAACUCUUCAUUUUACCCGUUCUUUCGUCACUUGACAAGCAUGGAGUAGCCUUUGAAUUUCUCAAUAUAAACAUAACUAAUCAAUUUAAGAAAGCGCAGUAUCCAACUUUUAUGAAUUGGUGGUAAUUUUAUGCGAGCAAAUGAGGAAUUUUUUGAGAAGUUUGUGCUGUAGAGAAAAGGUAAAACAUAAAUGUAGAUAUACUUGAACAGGUUUGUUUUAUUAAUAAAAGUGAUUCCUCUCAGGAUUUAAUAUGAAACUUUUACAAAUUUGUGAUAAUUUUAAAUUAAUAAUGGAAGAAUUUUUUUUGGGGGAAUUUACGCUGUUGACUAAAGGUUGAAUACAAACAUGUAAGGUUUAUGCAAUGAAUAGAAGUGAACAUAGAAUUGCUGCAGUACGUAGCGUGUUUUAUCCUUUGAAGGGUUCCGCUAAAUAUAAGAAUGCCCAAGCUUUAUGUUGAUGAUAAGAUAUGGAUUCAUUUGUCACGGAAAAUAAUAUACUUGAAGAGAUGCUGUAUCAAUUUUUUGUGUAUGAAAUCUUUUAUGUCACGCAAGUUUUUCCUUGAUAAGAUCUUCCACAAAUUUUCUACUUAAAAAUGCCUUUAUCGUUAAUUAGCCAUGUAAUGUUAAUGGAUUGUCAUUAGUAUCUUCAUGAGACAGAGGUAAAAUCUUCACUAAACUCUUAGCAUCAUUGAAACAUGUGUUGUAAAAGCAAGAAUGUUCAUAGUAUAUUGUUAAUCUAUUAAUGUAAACUUUUCAUAGAAAAUAUAUUGUCAGUGUAGUACUAUAUUCAGCAUCGUCUUCAGACAUUAUUUUUUUCUUUUUUGCCUUUUUCUUUGGCAGUUGGAUUCCUAGAGAGCAUGUUUGUUUUUAUCCCUGGUAUAAAAAAUAGAUGUUGCUUAUUGCCUUUAUAUGAAGGAGAGACUCCUUAUUGUUGUUGAUGCCUUCCUCUCUCAUGUUGGUAGCAUUGCAUGAAGGAAAUUAAGAUUGAGCACUCGAGUGAAUGUCCAAGAACAGCAUGUAUUGAGACACAAUGUAUUUAUUCUUCCGAGGAAGGACAGAUCUUGCAAAAGAUUGAUGAUCUUUCGAGAUCGUUGGAUGAGCCCGAUGAUAGUAACGAAGCCGAUGUUACUGAUGAUUCUGAUGCUAGCAACGAUUCUUAUAAUAACAACUUGCCAAAAUUUAUUAAUUUUAUUUGAGCCUAUAUUUGCUAUUUGGGUAUUUUGGGAUUGUGGUAGCCUUAUUGGAUUCUCUUGUAAUGUUUCAUUAGUCCAAUGUUCAUAGCUUCUAAUGAACCAAUUAAAGGGUAUUGCUAUUAAACUAACAUUUCAAUACAAAGUGUUGAUUUAUGACUUGUGUGUGGAUUGUACAUGGAACUUCUUGAAGCUACCAAAACUAAAAAUUUAGUUCACUGAUGAAAAAAUUGAUACAAUAUUGUUUCUUGCUUGAUUAGAUUACAUGGUGAUUAGGAUAAUAUAUACAAUGAUGAUAAGAAAUUCUCGUAACAGUUCUAAGGCUUGACAUGAGUGAAUUUUUUUUUUUUUUUUUUUGGUUUGAACCACGAGAUGGUCCUGAGUGGGCCCCAACUGUGGGAGGCACCUUUAAGCCCGUACCACAACUCAGACUAAUCCCCGCUCGCACCGGGUCGGCCCAUAAGGGGUAAAGUGCUGGCCAAAGUGGUGACUCCAUACGAGAGCGGGACUUGAACCUCUGACCUCUCUUAAGGAGUGAGAGUGCCGAACCACUCACACCAACCAACUUUGGUUUGACAUGAGUGAAUUUCCUAUUGAUUGUAUUAUAAAAUAUGGAAGGCUAGAGAGAUUCUUACCAAAAUUAUCAUGAAGUUAUUGUUCUGCUAUCAAUCAAAUACUUGGCCGUUAUAAAUGAUUCUGGAACUUGAUAUGUCGUUGGCUUGCACUUUCCUUCCAUAGGUUCUGAAUGUUUGAUUGUUGCUAAAAUUCAUCCUGUGUAUGAAUCUCAUCUGCCCCCCUCAAACUAGGAUCGGUCAUGGGGUGAGUUCCAAGUUUGUGCCUAAAUUUUAGGAAGAGUUUCUUACACAGAGGCUUUGUAAAUAUGUCAGCAAUUUGAGAUAGAGAAGGAGUGUAUCUUGUGUCAAGCAAUCCUUGUGUGCCUUUCUCACGAACAACAUGGUAGUCAAUCUCGACGUGCUUAGUGCAGGAAUGAAAUACUGGAUUUUUAGACAUGUCUAGAGCACUCUUAUUGUCACAUAUAAGUGCUGGUGUUGCUACAAGCUAGAUGCCAAUGUCUUUCAAUAAAUAUGUGAGCCAGGUGAGUUCUACUGUUGUAGAAGCCAUGCAACGAUAUUCAGCUUCGGCACUAGAACGAGCAACUGUGGCCUGUUUUUUUGAACUCCAACUAAUGCAGUUUGCGCCUAGGUAGAUGCAGAAUCCGCUUGUGCUUCGACGAGUGAGAGUACAGCCAGCCCAAUCUGAAUAUGAAAAACCAUACAACUUUAGCGAGGUUUGUUUUAAAUAACGAAGACUAAAAUUAAGAGUGCCUUUGAGAUAGCGCAAUAUGCGUUUGACAGAACGAAGAUCGGCUUUGGUUGGUUAUUGGAACUUAUGGCAGACACGAUUCACAUCAUGUGUAAUAUCGGAUCUAGUGAAAGUAAGGUAUUGUAGACUUCCCACAAUUUGGUGAUACUCUGUAGUGUCAACGGGUUCAUUAUCAUCAAAUUUUGGUACUUCUUUCAUAGUCAUAGGAGUAGUAAUGGAGGUGCUAUCUUGUAUCUUAGUCUUAAUCAGUAAAUCCUUUGUAUACAUAGCCUGCGAAAGGAAAAUUCUAGCCGUAAAGUAUUUUAUUUCAAUGCCUAAGAAAUAAGUUAGCAUACCCAAGUCUUUCAAAGCAAAUUAUGAACUAAAUGUCCUAAUAAUAUGUUGUAUAAGGGUGUUAUUAUUUCUAGUGAUUAUAACAUCAUCUACAUAAACAAGUAAUAAAAUAAUGCUAAAUUCAUGAUGUAAAAAAAACAAGGACGUGUCAGCCUUACUUUUUUGAAAACCAAGUUUAAUGAGUGCAUGGUAAAGACAAUCAAACCAAACUCGUGGAGCUUGUUUUAGCUCGUAGAGUGACUUUUUCAGCUUACAAACAUGUGAUGGUAGUUUAGGAUUGACAAAACUUGGGGUUGCUCCAUGUAGACAAUCUCAUUAAGAUGACCAUGGAGGAAAGCGUUGCGCACAUCAAGUUGACUCAUUGACCAAUUUUGAUUCACAACAAGGGCCAAAUACAAGUAGGAUUGUUGUAUGUUUUAUGACCGGACUGAAAGUUUCUUCAAAAUUAAUCCUGGGAACUUGUGUGAACCCUUUGGCUACAAGACGCGCUUUGAAUCGUUCGAUGGUUCCUUUUUCAUUGUACUUGAUUUUGUACACCCAUUUGGAACGAAUGAUAUUUAUGUUUGCUGGCCUUGGAAUAAGAUCCCAAGUGUUGUUUUGGUAUAAAGCCCAAAGUUCUUCUUCCAUUGCAGCAACCCAUUGAGGAUUUUUUAGAGCACACUCUUCAAGGUUUUUGGUUCUGAUACAAUGGAUAUGUGCAAGGCCAGGUUGGGAUUACUUCUAAGUUUCUGUCGAGUAAUUGUUAUGCUAACUGAGUUAUAUCUGACUCUUGAACAAGAACUAAGUAACUCAUGAACCCAAAAUUAACAAAUGCAAGACAAGAAAAGAAGCAAAGAAAAAACAGAGUAAUCAAGAACUAUCAACACACCAAGAAACUAAUGCGGUUCAGCUCUACAAAGCAACCUACAUCCACGGCUGAAAAUGCUAGCUAGGGCAGAAGCUUAUUGAACUAGAAAAUGGCUGAUUACAAUGACCCUCAAUAAUACAGAUUGAAACUCUCUAAGCUUAGUGUUUCCUUUCUCUGUAAUGCAGCCUCUGAAUCUACUUCUUCUGGCUUCAGAAGAAGCUUAUAUGUACUGUUUUGACCCGUGUGUAUCCACUUAACAGAACUAAACUGUAACAACUUAAUUGCUUAUUCUCUUAGACCCCACUAACGCCAGCUCAUCAGCCACCUCAGCAAGCUCAUAGCAGAAUAUAACUAAUCUUUGGCUUCACAAAUCUCCACCUUAGUUCUAUUCUGUUCAUGCUUAUCCCUACACUGCAACAACAACAGUAAGCUUGUAUCACAAGCUAACACUCCUAAUCAAGUUCAGCAAAUUCCUGAACCUAACUGAUGGCAAUGUCUUGGUUAACAUGUCAGCUGGAUUGACCUCAGAAGGCACCUUGACCACAUUCAUCACUCCUUUGCCAAUUUCAUCCCUUAUGAAAUGCAUUCUAACAUCAAUAUGUUUAGUUCUCUCAUGAUACUUAGGAUUUUUACUUAGUUGAAUGGCACUUGAGCUAUCACAGCUAACUUUAACAACUUUUUGUUUAAACCCCAAUUCAGAGACCAACCCUCUCAGCCAUAUUGCCUCUUUAACAGCUUCUGUGAGUGCAAUAUACUCAGCUUCUGUCGUUGAGAGAGCAACCAUUGAUUGAAGAGAGGACUUCCAGCUUAUUGCACCUCCACACAUAGUAAACACAAACCCUGUAAUAGAUCUUCUUCUAUCCUUAUCUGCUGCAUAGUCAGAAUCUACAAACCCAGCAACUUCAGGUAAUGCUCCAUUUAUGUUUCCAAACACAAUAACAGUGACAACAGUCCCUCGAAGGUACCUUAGUACCCAUUUCACUGCAUUCCAGUGAUCUUUACUAGGGUUCCCCAUAAAUCUACUGAUAACACCAACUCCAUGUGCCAAGUUAGGUAUGGUGUAGACCAUGGCAUCAUGAUGCUGCCAACUGCACUGGAAUAUGGAAUCUUCCUCAUAUAGUGAAGAUCAUCAUCAGUUGUAGGUUCCAGAGAUUUAGAUAACUGGAAGUGUGCUGACAGGGGUGUUGUAACAUGUUUUGAGUCUUCCAUAUUGAACUUGGUCAAUACAUUCUUCACAUAAUCAGCUUGAGACAGAUACAAAGUCUUUGAGUCACUGUCCUUUAUUAUCUGCAUGCCCAAAAUUUUUGUAGUUGCACCCAAAUCCUUCAUUUCAAAUUCAGUGCUGAGUUCAACCUUGAGCUUAUCUAUUUCUUCUUUUUGUUUACAUGCAAUAAGCAUGUCAUCAACAUAAAGAAGUAAGUAAACGCCGCCAUCACUGGAUAGGAAUUUGUAAUACACACAAUUAUCAAACUUGCUUCUGUUAUAUCCAUGGCUUAUCAUGAACUCAUCAAAUUUCAAAUACCAUUGCCUUGGAGAUUGCUUGAGGCCAUACAAGCUCUUUUUCAGUAAAUACACCUUGUCCUCUGAUCCUUUCUCAAUAAACCCUUCUAGCUGUGCCAUGAAAAUUUCUUCAUCAAGAUUACCAUGUAAGAAAGCAGUUUUAACAUCCAUCUACUCCAGUUCCAGGUCAUAAUAUGCAGAGAGGGCCAAUAACAACCUAAUGGAGCUGUAUUUGAGUAUAGGUGAGAACACUUUAUUGAAGUCAACUCAUUCUCUUUGUGUAAAUCCCUUUGCCACAAGUCUGGCCUUGUGCCUUGGUGGUUCCUUUUCAGAAGCUCCAGCCUUCAAUUUGAAAAUCCACUUACUGCUAACUAGUUUCUUGUUAGGAGGUUUUUCAACUAAGAUCCAAGUGUUAUUCUUCUUUAAUGAGGUUAUUUCAUCCUGCAUUGUAGCAUACCACUUCAGCUUAUCUUCACAGCACAUAGCUUCUCUGUGACUUAAAGGGUCUCUACUAUUUACUUCAUCAGCUACUGUCAAUGCAUAGGAAAUAAGGUAAGUUAUGCCAUAUUUCCUUAGCAUUUUGAUAGCUAUUCUCUCCAUAUCCUUAACAAGUUGGUAUGUUUUUAAUUCUGAUGAUUUAUUCCCUUCUUUGAAUUGUUCUGAUGGCUCUUCAGAAGUCUUGCAAUUAUUAGAGUGCUCCACCUUCUGUUCAGCACUUUUAGCUUCUUCCGAUUCUGUAGCUUCAAUAUCAGUUUCUACCUUUGACAGAAAUAUUAGACCUUCAUCAAAAGUAACAUCCCUGCUGAUAAGUAUUCUAGAUGGUUUGCCAUUGAGGGUCCAUAUUUUGUAUCCCUUUGUGCUCUCUGGAUAACCCAAAAAAUACCCUUUGACAGCCCUUGGUUCAAGCUUACUUUACUUUAUAUGAGCAUAUGCUGGGCACCCAAAAAUCCUCAGAUUGCUUAGGUCUAGUGGCUUCCCUGACCAAAUCUCUGGUGGUGUCUUAAAGUCUAGAGCUGAUGAUGGACUUCUGUUUAUCAAGUAGGCAGCUGUUGUGACUGCCUUAGCCCAAAAACCUUUGGAUAAACUUGCAUUCAGCAGCAUACAUCUAACCCUCUCUAUUAAGGUUCUGUUCAUUAUCUCUGCUAGCCCAUUUUGCUGUAGAGUAUAGGUAACAGUUCUAUGCCUUGCUAUGCCCUUUGAUUUGCAAAAAUUUUCAAACUCUCUACUGCAAUAUUCCAGUCUAUUAUCUGUCCUUAGCCUCUUUAUUUUCUUAUCAGUUUGAUUCUCCAUCAGAGUUAUUCACUCUUUAAACUUCUCUAAUACUUCAUUUUUAUGCUUUAACAUAUAAAUUCAUACCUUCCUUGAGAAGUCAUCUAUAAAGUACACAAAGUACCUAGCUCCACCUAAAGAUGGAACUUGUGAUGGCCCCUAAAGAUCUGAGUGAAUGUAAUCUAAGGUUUGUUUGGUUUCUUUUCUCCCCAUAAUGAAUUUUAGUCUUGUAGCUUUGCCAAAUACACAUUUCUCACAAAAUUUUAAGAAAGAAAUUUUGUCAUUACCAAAUAAGCCCUGAUUGCUUAACUCCCUGAGACCUCUUUCACUGAUAUGAGCUAGUCUCAUGUGCCAGAGCUUAGUUUUGUCUCUGGUCACACUUGCUGAGAUCCCAUGCUCAGGUGAGGAUCCAACAAGUAUAUACAUCCCAUUUUUCCUAACCUCCUUCAUAACAGUUUCACCCUUAUCUGUAACAUGUAUUUCUUCAUUUUCAGCCUUAAUUGUACACCCUGAUUGAUCAACCAUUCUUAAAGAUAUUAGAUUUCUUUUGAGUUCAGGAACAUAUCUCACAUAGUGCAAGUCUCUAGUGACACUAACAAAUAUUUUUAAGCUAAUGGUUCAUAUUCCAGCCACCUUGCAAGCCAGAUUAUUCCCUAACAGUACCUUCCCACCAUUCACAUUUUCAAAGGUCUUAAAAAAGCUGUUAUUUGGACACAUAUGGAAGGAACAACCAGAAUCUAAUAUCCACUCACCAGUUGGGUGCCUCUCUGCAGCCACCAGGACAUUUGCUUCAUCAUAGUCACCUUCAUCCUCAGAGGCUAAAGUAGCCUUCCCAUUUGACUUCUUUUGCAAUUCUUCUAGUUUCUUUUUCUCAAAGCAAUCCUUGAUGUAGUGCCACUCCUUUUGGCAGAAGUAACACUUUCUCUUCUUAUUAUUUUUCUCAGCUUUAUCUUUCUGGUUAUUGUUCUUCUUCUGCUUGUUGUUUUUCUUUUUUGAUUUUCCUUUGGUAACUAAGCCUUCUGCAUUGCUUUGAUCUUUUACUUCUGCCAUUUUAUUUAAAUCCUUGGAUUCCAGAGCAUUUUUGACAUCUUUUAAUGUGAGGGUCUGUCUUUUAUAGAGGAGAGUAUCUACAAAGUGUUCAUAAGAUUCUAGAAGGGAACUAAGUAAGAUGAGUGCCUUGUCUUCAUCUUCAAGAAUUAUGUUAACAUUCUCAAGAUCAAAAAUGAGUUUAUUAAACUCAUCCACAUGAUCCUUCAUUGCUACACCAUCUUUUAUCGAUAAUGUGUAUAAUCUCAUUUUCAUAUCAGCCUCUUUGCUAAAGAUUUCUUCAAGCUUGGCCCAGAAACCAAAUGCAAUUUUUUUCUUUUGACACCUCUCUCAAGACUUCAUCAAAGAGAUGCAAGAUAAUCGUGCUAUGGGCCUUGUUAUUAAUGACUCUCUGGUCUCCACCAAGACUUGGAGAACUUUCUCUCUUUUCUUUCAUGGCCAUAAGAUCUUCUUCAUCAUCGAAGGCACUGUCAAGCCCUUGCUAAAUCAGAAUUGCUCUCAUUUUUAAACUCUAUAGAUAAAAGUCAUUAUCUCUAUUAAACUUUUCAAGAUCAACUCUGGUGCCUGCCAUUUUAGAAUUCGAUCCUAACCAACACCAAGCUCUGAUACCAGUUUGUUAUGCUAACUGAGUUAUAUUUGACUCUUAAACAAGAACUAAGUAACUCACAAACCCAGAAUUAAUAAAUGUAAGACAAGAAAAUAAGCAAAGAAAAAACAGAGUAAUCAAGAACUAUCAACACAGCAAGAAACUAACGUGGUUCAGCUCCACAAAGGAACCUACAUCCACGGCUGAAAAUGCCAGCUAGGGCAGAAGCUUUAUUGAACUAAAAAAUGGCUGAUUACAAUGACCCUCAACAAUACAUAUUGAAACUCUUUAAGCUUAGUGUUUCCUCUCUCUGUAAUGCAGCCUCUGAAUCUACUUCUUCUGUCUUUAGAAGAAGCUUAUAUAUACUGCUUUUGACACGUGUGUAUCCACUUAAUAGAACCAAGCUGUAACAACUUAACUACUUAUUCUCUUGGACCCCACUAACGCCAGCUCAUCAGCCACCUCAGCAAGCUCAUAACAAAAUAUAACUAAUCUUUGGCUUCACAAUAAUUAUAAGGCGCGAAUUUGAAGUAGUGUUUUUUUAUAGUUCACUUGGAAAAGUGGACGCAGUAGGUUGAAUUGGUAAUUCAAUAGAGAGUUUAUUUGAGAUAUCAGGAAACUCUUUAUGACUGAUUUCAGAAGAGUUCUUCUCGGUUGAAAAGGAGUUGUUUAGCUCAUGGUCAUCAGUGGUAGAAUUUGUGUGAGCCUCAAUAUUUCCUUCAUUGGUUUCAUGGCUAGGAGUUGUUGUCUCUGAAGUUUCGGUGAAGUUAAAAUUUUUGCUUGUACGAGGUGUAUAAAAAAUUGGUGCUAACAUCAUAAUAUUGUCACAAGAACUAGUGAUGGGAUUAAGUUCUUCAACGUUUGUGGCAGGAGAUGAAAACCACUUAUUCUUGACUAGUUUUAGACUUUCCUGCAAGGUACCAAAGGAAGAUAAUUUAGCAAGUGGAAAGGUAUUUUCAUCAAAUACAACAUGUCUAGAUAUAUAGAUACGUUUGUUUUCGAGAUCUAAAUAACAAUAUCCCUUAUGUAAAAGAUUAUAUCCAACAAAAACACAAGGUUGUGAUUUUUAUUGAAUUUAUUUUUGUUGUAGUCCUUUAAAUAAGAGAAACACCUGCAUCCAAAAGUUUUCAAUUUGUCAUAAUCAGGAACUUUAUUAAAAAGCUUUUCAAAGGGAGAUUUCAUGUUAAGAGUUGAAAGAGGCAUUAUAUUGAUGAGAUAAGUUGCAGUGAUGAACGCUUUAACCCGAAGUGUCAAUGGAAGUUGGGCUUGAAACAUUAUGGUUAAAGUUGUAUGCCGAUGUUUCCUCUCUGCUACUCCAUUUUGUUCAGGUGUGUAGGGGCAUGCGAUUUGUCUUUUUAUUCCACAAAUCUGUAGAUGAUUAAGAAAAAUGUUUGAAUUAAAUUCUCCUCCUCCAUCACAUUAGAAAAUUUUAAUUUUCUGUUCCAAUUGAUUCUCCACUUGUUGUUGGAACCUUACAGAACAAUAAAAAAAAAUUAGAUUUAUGAUUUAAAGGAAACAAGCAAGAGAAUCUAGUGCAAUCGUCAAUAAAGAGAGCAUAAAAUCUAAAAUUCUAUGUAGAAUUGAUAGAAACAAGACCCCACAAAUCACAAUGUAUUUUCUCUAAAGGAAAUUGUGAUUUUUUAUUGGAUAACUUGAAAGGGAGUUUGUAGCUUUUUCCUAAUUGACAUAAAACACAUAUGCUUGGUGUUUUAGUCCAAUUAGAAAUGCUAAUUUCUUUUGUGAUUUCAAUAUACGCAAGACGUUGUGACUUGGGUGUCCAAGUCUUUUGUGCCAAAGAUCCGCGUCCACAAACUUUCCUUUUAUUCAUUAAGAGCUUCCUGAUUGGUCUCCUCUAAUACGUAGAGAUUUCUACGUCUACUGCCUCUUGCCAGUACUUGGUUCUGUUUAUUCUUAACAAUAAAGCCUUUAGAAUCAAAUUCAAGAGAACAUGGUAGAUCGUUAGUGAGUUGAGCUACAGACAAAAGAUUUUUCUUUAAUUGAGGGUCAACAAGAACAUAUUUCAGUUUGAAAGUGCCAUGAUAAGUUUUUACAGAAAUAUCUCCAGUAUGUGAAAUUUUAAUGCUUGUCCAUUGCCAACAAAAAUCUUAUCAUGGCCUUUAUAAAAAAAAAAAGAGUAUCGAGUUUACCAGGAUCAUUCACCAUAUGUGCUAUGGCAUCAAAAUCUGCGUAAAUUUGUUUAUCAAUUUGUUGAUGGAAGUUCAUUGCAGCAAGAACUUGUGGCACUUCUUUUUUAUCCAUAUAUUUAUAACGAUUCUGGCAAAAGGUUGCACUAUGUCCCCUUUUUUUUCCGCGUAUUUGGCAAGUCACAACCUCUUCUUGUGCAUUCUUCUUGCUUUCCUUUGUAAUUUUUGAUGCAGUUUGUAUAUUCGAAAGAUGUGGGCUCUUAUUUUGAUUUUGAUCCCUGUUAUUUUGUUUGUAGGCUCUUUUAUAGCCAUCGUUGUUUUUCAUUCUUCUCCCAUUCUGGCAAAAAAAAAAAGCUUGAAUUAGUGCUUUUUCUUCUUGCUUUUGGACCAUAAUUGUUUGUUCAUGGAUUUGGAGGGCAAGAAUAAAUUGCUUUAUUGUGGGAUAGGGAGGUUUGGCUAACAUGGCAAUCUUGAAGUCAGCAUAGUUUAGCCCAAGAGAUCGUGCGAGUUGGAAGACCUUGUCUUUAUCUAAAAUUGGUUUCCCAAUUUUUUUGAGUUGUUACACAGUGUCUUGAAUUUCUUGAGAAAUUCUUUAAGUUUUGUGUUCCCUUUCUUAAGGGAAUAAAGGCUACCUUUCAACUAAGACUCAUGUUCUUUGGUUGCUGGAAGCAUAUGCUCUUCAAUAGAGCGCCAUACUUCAUAAGCAAUUUGACUUUCUACUAUCAUACUUAAUAUAUCGUCUGUCACCGUCCCUCUCAACCAUGUCAUCAAUAAUCUACUAUUGUUCAUCCUAAGGAUGAAUUCAAGAUUUAUUUUUUCUUUUCCAUCUUGAGUAAUCAUCUUCGGUGGAGCCUCCAUGCUGGUAAUAUGGUGUUCCAUUUCAAGACAGUUGAUGAGUGGAAGAACUUGAGACUUCCAAAGACGAUAAUUGUUUGAAUUGAGUUUGAUGGAGACAAAACUCACACAUUGGUGGAAUGACUGGAUAGUGAGUGAAGGUUUUGUAUAUUUUUCAGCCAUUAGCUCUGAUACUAUAAAAAAAAUUGAUACAAUAUUAUUAUUAUUAUUUUUGGUUUAAACCACCCGGUUUCUGGCGACCACAUUGGGCCCCGACUAAUCCGGAUUCGGGGUGUAGUCACAGUUAAGGCUCCUUACCCCUCCCAAAUGGUGUGUUUAGUGGGGAUCGAACCCAAGAGCUUUUCCCGCUUACCCAGCUAGCGUUGCCAAUUGAGCCACAACCGUUUGGUUAAUACAAUACAAUACAAUAUUAUUUCUUGCUUGUGUUUCUUGCUUAAUUAGAUUACAUGGUGAUUAGAAUAAUAUAUACAAUGAUGAUAAGAAAUUCUUGUAACAGUUCUAAGGCUUGACAUGAGUGAAUUUCCUAUUGAGUUUAUUAUAAAAUAUGGAAGGCUAGAGAGAUUCUUGCCGGAAUUAUCAUGAAGUUAUUUUCCUACUAUCAAUCAAAUACUUGGCCGUUAUAGAUGAUUCUGGAACUUGAUAUGCUGUUGGCUUGCACUUUCCUUCCAUAGGUUCUGAAUGCUUGAUUGUUGUUCAAAUUCAUCCUGCAUAUGAAUCUCAUCAACUGACACAUAAUGCACAAAUAUGAGUUACAUAAGUUAUUGGCAUGCUGUAAAUGCUAGUAAAUAGUUAAUCUUUAGCAAAGUAAUCUUUAUAGACCAAACACGACACUUCACAUGUAAUUGUCUGCUUACGAAUGACACCUUUUAAGAGCUUGAAUUUUAAACCAAUUGAUUUGGACUUCAAUCAAGUUCCGAUCAACAUCUAAUGCCAACUUCAAUUUUAUUUGAGGCCUUUGACUAGUAAUUAUUGGUGCUGGGGUUUCAUUUAGAGAACUAAAAUAACCCUAACAACGAAGCAAACAUCAAAAGCCAUACGCAAUAAUUUUUUUCUUUACAUCAUCUUCUUUUUUGUUGAAGGAUAAAGUUGUUAUGGAGUGCAUAUAUCAAGAGAAGGACGAAAGAUUGUAUUUAAGAGAAUGAUUGAAUGAUUUUCAAAGAAUUUGUUUUCUUCAUCAAAGAAGAGGUAGAAGGUUAAAAAAAUUAAUUAGGGUGUUUUUAUAAGUUUUAUUUGUUGACAUGAGUAGAUGGUCAUGAUUUAACUGUUGAAGGUAGAUGUGGAUAUAACCACAUGAUUGAUUAAUAUGAAUCAAUCACGAGUGUUGGUUUUAUAAUACGAGUUUUUAAUUCCACAGUCAUUAAAAUUGACAUAUUUUACUCUACCACAUAAUGAUGAAAAAUUGGUUGUCAAUACCCAAUCCAUUAGCACUUAAGAAGGGUGAAUGAGUCAACGGCCAAAUUUAAACCCAAAAAAACCCACAAAUAACAUAUAAUUCACUACUAGAAAAAUGGUCUUUACUGACUUUAGAAUAGUGUCAGAAAUUACUUUCACUGACACUUGUUAAUUGUGUCAGUAAUCUAUGAGUCAGAAAAAUAAUGACACUUGUAAUUGGUGUUAGUGAUUACUAUUACUAUAGUAUUAUCAGAUUUAUGACACUAUGGUAUUAGUAAUUACUGAUAAUGAUCACUUGUUAAAAGUUACUUUCACCAUAGUAUCACAAAAUAUUAUGACACUAUAGUGAUCGUAUUUACUAAUAACUAUUACACGUCAAUAGUUUGUUUUACACUGGGAGAUGACAUGAUAGAAUGAACAGAUACUAAUACUUCAGUGUCAGCAAUUUGUAAUACUAUAGCAUCACUAAUAUUAUGAUGUUGAUACAUUUUUUAGCGUCAAUGGCUUCAAAGAAAAGAUGUUGAAAUUAUUGUUGUUACUAUAUUAUUUUCAUUAUUCUUUUAGUUUUGCCAAUCAAAUAAUGGCAUUCAAAGAAAAUCUAUUCAAAUUAAACUAAAGUACAAAUUUGAAUAAUUAAAUAUAAAUAUAUAACAUUCCUACUAACAUUUAAAUAGGUAUCAAAUAAAAUAGUAAUACAAAUAUCUAAAAUAUUGUUUGAAAACAUGUCAAAUAUUUACAUGAACACAUAAUGACAGUUUGUAGGAAAUAAUCAGUACAUCUACUCUUUGAUCUUUGCCUUUCCCUUUACCUUUCCCACCUAUAAUUGCAGUAUAUAGAAUCAAUUAGCUACUAUGCUACAAAAAUCAAUUCUUUGAUAUUUACAAGCAAAAAUAUAAUUUACCUCAUUAUUGUGCUACAAGUAACUUUGCAACAUACAUCGCCCACUAAUUGCGAAGUUGCAAAAUAUCGUCCAUAGUGUACUCAUUACAGCCCUUGAACUUAAAAAAUAAAGCAACAAAAUGUAUUCAUAUAUUAUAGAAUCUGUCCUAAAAUAAAACGACACAAUAAAAAUAUAUAUUUUAAAGUUUGCUAGGAUUAACAUCAAAACUGAAGAACAUGCAAAUAAAUUGUAUCACCAUAGCAAACAACGGUUACCAAAGUUGUCUAAGAAGCUGAUAAUUUAUAAUAUAUUAUUUGUUUUACUCAAUAUUACUUCUAAUACUCAACACUGGGAUUUAUAUGCUUUCUAUCUGUAAAUGCAGCAGCUCCAAUCAUUGCUCAAUAAUACUUUAACACUGAACAUUGAGAUUUAUAUGCAUUCUAUUUGUACAUGCAACAACUCCAGUCAUUUUGGUUUACACUAAAGUGUCUUAAAUACAUAGUAGAGCACAAUAAAAAUUGGCAUUAAUUUUUCCAAACAUGUUGAAUGCAUUCAGUAAAAUGUAUAUAGCGUUAUAGCUUUUACCUAUAAUAAAUAUGGCAAAUAAAGUGUAUUUGAUUAUCCUAAACAUACACAACACUUCCUCUAAUCCCUAGCACAAGAUAUGAUUAUAUUGCUAGUUUCAAGCAUAAAGCAGCAAACUAUUCACCCAUUAACCAUCUUCAUAAUUCACUUAAGAAAAUCCAUUUCACAGUGCACUCUUCGAAAAAAUAUUAAACAAGUUCUGGAGAAACUCACAUUGUUUUCAAGAUUGUGCAAAUCGCGAACAAUAUCCUGGAUGUACUUCAUCAUAUAGUAACCACAUUCAAAGGUUCCAGGUUGUUUUGGACACUAAAAAAAAAAAACUUAGUUUCAAAUAUAUUGAUGAAGUAACAAUGGAAAUCAUAACUUUGUUUUAUUAAUACCUUCACAGAGACCCACUGCACAACCUUCUUUUUGUCACUCUUCACUUGAUGCAUUGUUAUCCCACUAUAAAUAAUAAAUAACAGAUGCAACAAAUUAAUCUACAACAUAAAAAAUUAACAAAGAAUUAAGUAAACUAAUUAAACUUACUCAUUCACCAUUUGCUUCAACGCAUCAGCAGGAUUAUCACCUAAUGGAUUAAGAUAAUAAAUUUUUCGCCUCACCAUAUCAAUUGCUACUAGCACCCAAUGGCCACUAAACAAACAAGUAAAAAAAAAAACCGAUUACCAGAUAAAUUUAAAUAAUUUAUGUUAAAAAAUAAAAUAGACAAAAAAUAAAUAAACUAUACCCUGGGUUAUAUGGGAAGAUAAUUAUUUGAAUCUUGUCCAAAAGGUCUGAAAUAUAAGAACACCUAUUUGGCUAGCUUGCUUGACUUGGCUGUAACUUAGAUAUGCAUCCAAAUUGAAUUGGAAUAACACCACUGCCAUUAUCCAUCUCUUCAUACAAGUGUCUAUUAAAAAAAGAAACUUUCAUGACAUGAAUAUAAGAAAUAAAUUAAUGACAGUUUGCAAAAUCAGAAAACAUAGUAAAAAAUAAAGUUUUUUAUUACUUACUUGAUCCAUAUCUCCAAAACAGAAUUUGAGAGCUUUGUAAACUCAAUGACUUCAUUGCAAAUCUGCUCGUCCAAUAUGCUCUCCUAGUAGACACCAAAAGUCUUCAAAUCAUGGGCAAUCAUAAUCGUCCAUGGCAGGGAGCUCUCAAUCAUCAAAGAAAAGAUGUUCAUUUGUGAACUUUUGUUCUCUUUUCUUGCUCUCACAGCUCCACAGGUAUUCUUUCUCAGAACCAGUUUCCUUGCUAUCACUGGUUUUACAACAAUGGGUUCCUUUGUUGUUCGUUUCUGUUCAUACGGAUAUACCACGACAUUUGUAGGAGACUUUCAGCCAUCC